GAUGAAGAUGGUCUCUCUCAAACAACCCUGCAACCAAAUAACAAAGAGUCUCUUGUGUCCCCAACACACCCAAUACAAUGGUAAAUUGUAUAGGUGCACUAGUUCGGCGAAGAGAUGGUGAUACAAGUGCAAUAUGGAUGGUAGAUAAAGGUAUUUUUAAUCUGAAAAUAUAAAAACAGCAAGGUAUCUAAUGAUAAAAGUGAGCGUAAACGGUAUUUCAAUGAUAGGAAACAAGGCCUAGGGUUCAUACUUUCACUAGUGCAAGUUCUCUCAACAAUAAUAACUUAGAUAGAUCAUAUAACAAGCCCUCAACAUGCAACAAAGAGUCACUCCAAAGCCACUAAUAGCGGAGAACAAACGUAGAGAUUACGGUAGGGUACGAAACCACCUCAAAGUUAUUCUUUCGGAUCGAUCUAUUAAAGAGUUCGUACUAGAAUAACACCUUAAGACACAAAUCAACCAAAACCCUAAUGUCACCUAGAUACUCCAUUGUCACCUCAAGUAUCCGUGGGCAUGAUUAUACGAUAUGCAUCACACAAUCUCAAAUUCAUCCAACCAACACAAAGUACUUCAAAGAGUGCCCCAAAGUUUCUACCGGAGAGUCAAGAAAACGUGUGCCAACCCCUAUGCAUAGGUUCAUGAGCGGAACCCGCAAGUUGGUCACCAAAACAUACAUCAAGUGGCACGUGAUAUCCCAUUGUCACCACAGAUAAACACGGCAAGACAUACAUCAAGUGUUCUCAAAUCAAAGACUCAAUCCGAUAAGAUAACUUCAAAGGGGAAACACAAUUCAUCACAAGAGAGUAGAGGGGGAGAAACAUCAUAAGAUCCAACUAUAAUAGCAAAGCUCGCGAUACAUCAAGAUCGUGCCAUAGAGGGAACACGAGAGAGAGAGAGAGAGAUCAAACACAUCGCUACUGGUACAUAGCCUCAGCCCCGAGGGUGAACUACUCCCUCCUCGUCAUGGAGAGCGCCGGGAUGAUGAAGAUGGCCACCGGUGAUGGAUUCCCCCUCCGGCAGGGUGCCGGAACGCGCUCCCGAGAGGUUUUUGGUGGCUACAGAGGCUUGCGGCGGCGGAACUCCCGAUCUAUCUUCUCCGUGGAUGUUUUUAGGGUAUGUGGGACUAUAUAGGCGAAAGAAGUCGGGCGGGAGGUGCUCGAGGGGUCCACGAGACAGGGGGUCGCGCCCUGUAGGGGGGCGCCCCUAUCUCCUGGGCUCCUCAAGGAUCUUCUGACUUGAUCUCCAAGCCUCCAGGAUGAUAAUCUUCCAAAAAAACACGUUGCCGGAGGUUUCAUUCUCUUUGGACUCCAUUUGAUAUUCCUUUCCUUCGAAAUACUGAAACAGGCAAUAAAACAGCAAUAUGGGUUGGGCCUCCGGUCAAUAGGUUAGUCCCAAAAGUAAUAUAAAAGUGUAUAAUAAAGCCCAUAAUUAUUCAAAAUAGGUAAUAUAAUAGCAUGGAACAAUCAAAAAUUAUAGAUACGUUGGAGGACUGCCCGUGCACAAGUAGAGGGGUCAAAAGCAGAGCCCCUACUUUUGUACACCGACACUCUUCUUCAAUUUGCACAAAAUUAUAUAUUUCCCUUAAGGCAGCUUGUUUCUUAUGAGCAGGGAAAUAUUUAGCAGAGAAGUAAUAAAUCAUAUCCUGGGGACUACGCACACAACCAGGAUCAAGAGAAUUAAACCAAGUUUUAGCAUCACCCUUUAAUGAGAAUGGAAAUAUCUUAAGGAUAUAAUAGUAACGAGAUUUCUCAUCAUUAGUGAACAGGGUGGCUAUAUCAUUUAACUUAGUAAGAUGUGCUACAACAGUUUCAGAUUCAUUGCCAUAAAAGGAUCAGAUUCAAUCAAAGUAAUUAUCUCAGGAUCGACAGAGAAUUCAUAAUCCUUAUCAGUAACAAAGAUAGGUGAAGUAGCAAAUGCAGGGUCAUAUUUCAUUCUAGCAUUUAGAGAUUUCUAUUUAAGUUUAGCUAAUAACUUCUUAAGAUCAGAUCUAUCAUUGCAAGCAAGAAGAUCUCUAUCAGUUUCUUCAUCCAUAACAUAACCCUCAGGAACAACAGGCAAUUCAUACUUAGGGGGAGAACCUUCAUCAUAACUAUCUUCAAUAAUUUCAUUCUCUCUAACCCUAGCAAGUUGUUCAUCAAGAUAUUCACCUAAUGGCACAGUAGUAUCAAGCACAGAAGUAGUUUCAUCAUAAGUAUCAUGCAUAGCAGAAGUGGCAUCAUCAAUAACAUGCGACAUAUCAGAAUUAAUAGCAGAAGCAGGUUUAGGUGUCGCAAGCUUACUCAAACAGAAGGAGAAUCUAGUGCAGAGCUAGAUGGCAGUUCCUUACCUCCCCUCGUAGUUGAGGGAUAAAUCUUAGUUCUUUCGUCUUUCAAGUUCCUCAUAGUGACCAGAAGAUAUAAAUCCCAAGUGACUCAAAGAAUAGAGCAAUGCUCCCCGGCAACGGUGCUAGAAAAUAGUCUUGAUAACCCACAAGUAUAGGGGAUUGCAACAGUUUUCGAGGGUAGAGUAUUCAACCCAAAUUUAUUGAUUCAACACAACGGGAGCCAAAGAAUAUUAUCGAGUAUUAGCAGUUGAGUUGCCAAUUGAACCACACCUGGAUAACUUAGUAUCUGCAGCAAAGUAUUUAGUAGCAAAGUAGUAUGGAAGUAACGGUAACAGUGACAAAAGUAACGGUAGUAGUUUUGUAGUAAUUGUAACAGUAGCAACGGUAAAGUAAAUAAGCAAAGCACAAUAUGUGAAAAACUCGUAGGCAUUGGAACAGUGAUGGAUAAUUAUGUCGGAUGCGGUUCAUCAUGUAACAGUUAUAACAUAGGGUGAGACAGAACUAGCUCCAAUUAAUCAAUGUAAUGUAGGGAUGUAUUCCGAAUAUAGUCAUACGUGCUUAUGGAAAAGAACUUGCAUGACAUCUUUUGUCCUACCCUCCCGUGGCAGCGGGGUCCUAAUGGAAACUAAGGGAUAUUAAGGCCUCCUUUUAAUAGAGUACCGGACCAAAGCAUUAGCACUUAGUGAAUACAUGAACUCCUCAAACUACGGUCAUCACCUAGAAGUAUCCCGAUUAUUGUCACUUCGGGGUUGUCGGAUCAUAACACAUAAUAGGUGACUAUAGACUUGCAAGAUAGGAUCAAGAACUCACAUAUAUUCAUGAAAACAUAAUAGGUUCAAAUCUGAAAUCAUGGCACUCGGGCCCUACUAACAAGCAUUAAGCAUAGCAAAGUCAUAGCAACAUCAAUCUCAGAACAUAGUGGAUACUAGGGAUCAAACCCUAACGAAACUAACUUGGUUACAUGGUAAAUCUCAUCCAACCCAUCACCGUCCAGCAAGCCUGCGAUGGAAUUACUCACGCACGGCGAUGAGCAUCAUGGAAUGGUGAUGGAGGAUGGUUGAUAAUGACGACAGCGACGAAUCCCCUCUCCGGAGCCCCGAACGGACUCCAGAUCAGCCCUCCCGAGAGAGAUUACGGCUUGGCGGCGGCUCCGUAUCGUAAAACGCGAUGAAACUUUCUCUCUGAUUUUUUUCUCCGCAAAAUAGAAUAUAUGGAGUUGGAGUUGAGGUCGGUGGACAUCCAGGGUGCCCACGAGGCAGGGGGCGUUCCCAGGGGGAGGGGCGCGCCCCCCACCCUCGUGGACAGGGUGUGGGACCCUUGGCCUUGAUUCUUUUGCUAGUAUUUUUUAUAUUUUCCAAAAGUAAUCUCCGUGGAUUUUCAGGUCAUUCCGAGAACUUUUAUUUCUGCACAAAAAUAACACCAUGGCAGUUCUGCUGAAAACAGCGUCAGUCCGGGUUAGUUUCAUUCAAAUCAUGCAAGUUAGAGUCCAAAACAAGGGCAAAAGUGUUUGGAAAAGUAGAUACGUUGGAGACGUAUCAGCGGUUCUUCAAGGAAGCACGGGCCCAGGCUCGCAAUACGUGAGCCAGACGAUGAACCACCGAGGGAAGCUCAAGUACGGCCUUGUGAAUGGCCGUUAGAGGAGUUUAUGGUGCAGGCAGGCAUUAAGGAUGAAUUUGACGCGUAUGUGCGUAAUGCCGAUCUUGAGGACUUAUGUCAGAUAAGUGCUCCCAACACUACUACCUUACUGACUCCUUUGUGAGAAGGUUUAAAUUCACAUCUUCGCGCAAUUCUCGCACUGUUUUAUUUGGUCUUUAUGAUCAAUCAUAUACCAUGGACCUAGAAGAUUUUAAUACUGCUUGUAAACUCCUGCAGUGGGGCAAUGUUAGUGAACCUCGUAAAUCUGAAUAUAAAGACUUUCUUGCUAGUAUCACUGUGGGUUAAUCCAGAGAAAUCACACAAGCUACCAUAAGGAGCAUUCAUUUCCCCUCCAUACAUUAUUUUGCUCUCUUUAUAGGUAGAUGCAUUAACGGUAAAGAUGAAGCUUGUCACAUGUGCGUUCCUGAUCUUAGUGUCCUCAAGAGUGUUGUAUUAGGUGAUAAACAAUAUAACUUGGGGGCUAUUGUUGCAUGUAGGCUACAUCUUAAUGGUACGUGUGGAGCUUUGUUUGGUGGGAUUUAUGCAACUCGUGUCGCUAAUUAUCUUGGUGUACCCAUACAUGGAACUGAUAUGGAGUUGCCUCCCGCUUAUCUAGAUUAUGAUGCUAUGGUUCAUCAUCAGUUUCUUGAGAGGAAUGAACAGUUCCUCCAAUACUGACUAAUCUUUGGCAGACGCCGCACUGUCCAUAUUGCUCUCCCUGCUCCUGGAUUCUUUGACUUUCAGGCAAAAGGAGAUAUAUUAUAACCAAGGAGGAGGCGAACAAGUACGAAAGGAGGACGGAGGCAGCCCGCCUCCAAGCUGCAGCUCGUGAGGCAAUGGCUGCUGCAUCUCAGUACGACCCCAGCUACCACUUUGAUCCAUGGGCAUAGACCAACUUAGGCCAAAAGCUUAAGCUUGGGGGAGUACGUAUUUCUCACCGACAUUACAUUCAUGUUCACACACUCAUUCUAGUUGUCGAUGCUCAUGCUUUUUCAAUGUACUAUACAUGCUAGUUUAUUUCCUUUUCUUGCUUUCUUCUUGUGUGUUUGAAUAACCUUAAGAAAAACAAAAAAAUUGUUGUAGCUUUUAGCUAGUUUACUUUCCAUGCCUGUAAUAGUAGUAAUUAAAAGAAAACUCAAAAAGAUUUCUCGUUCUUCUUUUGCUUGUUGGGAGCUUUCCCGUGUAAAUAGUUUUAUUUCUUUUCUUUCCUUUGGGGGUCGAGAGGAGAAGACCAUGAUGAAAAAUGUUGAGUGGCUCUCAUAUGCAUUAUUGUUGAAUUAACCAAGAGCCCAUAUUACCUUGUCUUCUACCUUGAAUUGAAUGCUUGUAGAUUCCAGCUUAGUCCAAUGCACGUGCACUAUUAUUAUUAUCCACACUGUUCGGUCGUGCAAGCGUAAGGCAAUAAUGACGAUAUUUGAUUAAAUGAUCGAGAUGAGAGAACCUGGUAUGAACUCGACCUAUCUUGUUUUUGUAAAUAUGAUUAAUUCAUCGUUCCUGAUUCAGCCUAUUAUGGAUAAACAUGUUUGCAAUGACAAUUAGAGAUUAUAGUUGUUUAUGCCAUGCUUAAUUAGCUAGGAGUUUAUAAAUGGUUUACCUUGCGUGCCAACAUGCUAUUAAAAUGGUUGUGAUGUGGUAUGAUAGGGUGGUAUCCUCCUUUGAAUUAUUCGAGUGACUUGACUUGGAACAUGUUCACGCAUGUAGUUGAAACAAAAUCAACCUAGCCUUCACGAUAUUUAUGUUCAUGGUGGAUUAUAUCCUACUCAUGCUUGCAUUCAAUGUUGAUUAAUUUUAGUGCAUGUUCAUGACUGUUGUCGCUCUCUAGUUGGUCGCUUCCCAGUCUCUUUCUAGCCUUCACUUGUACUAAGCGGGAAUAUUGCUUGUGCAUCCAAAAUCCAUAAACCCCAAAGUUAUUCCAUAUGAGUCCAACAUACCUUCCUAUAUGCGGUAUCUACCUGCCGUUCCAAGUAAAUUGUAUGUGCAAACUCCAAACCUUUAAAUGAAAUUCUGUUUUGUAUGCUCGAACAGCUCAUGUAUCAACUAGGGUUGUCUGUAUCUUCCAUGCUAGGCGGGUUAUUCUCAAGAGGAGUGGACUCCGCUCCUCACUCACGAGAAAAUGGCCGGUAACCGGGAUGCCCAGUCCCAUGCUCAAAUCAAAAAUAAUUGCAAACAAAACUCCCCCAGGAUUGUUGUUAGUUGGAGGCACCCGUUGUUUCGGGCAAGCCAUGGAUCGAAUUUUUUUGGUUGUGGGGGAGUAUAAACUUUACCAUUCUGUUUGGGAACCGCCUAUAAUGUGUGUAUCAUGGAAGAUAUCGAGAUCUCUCAGUUGUUAUGUUGACAAUGAAAGUAUGCCGCUCAAAAUAUUAUUUGUCUCUAUUUCAAAACUCGAGCUCUAGCACCUCUACAAAUCCCUACUUCCCUCUGCGAAGGGCCUAUCUAUUUACUUUAUGUUGAGUCAUCAUCCUCUUAAUUAUGAAAAAGCACCCGCUGGAGAGCACCGCUGUCAUUUGCAUGCAUUACUAUUAAUUUAUAUUGAGUAUGACUAUGACUGGAUCUCUUUUACCAUAAUUACAAUGUUUAGUCAGUACUUGAUUUUCAGAGGUGCUCUGCAUUUAUGUUUUGCGACCUCAGAAAGGGCUAACGAGAUACCAUCUUGUUAUAUCAUAUUAUGAUUGUUUUGAGAAAGUGUUGUCAUCUGAGAUUUAUUAUUAUUGCUCGCUAGCUGAUUAUGCUAUUGAUAUGAGCAAACAUGAGACCUAAGUGUUAUUGUGAAUAUGGUUAGUUCAUAAUCUUUGCUGAAAACUUGAAUGCUGGCUUUACAUAUUUGCAACAACAAGAGCAAACAGAGUUUGUAAAAGUUUUUCUUUAUCACUUUCAGUUUGUUAACUGAAUUGCUUGAGGCUUGUGGGAGAUGAUACGUCUCCAUCGUAUCUACUUUUCCAAACACUUUUGCCCUUGUUUUGGACUCUAACUUGCAUGAUUUGAAUGGAACUAACCCGGACUGACGCUGUUUUCAGCAGAACUGCCAUGGUGUUAUUUUUGUGCAGAAAUAAAAGUUCUCGGAAUGACCUGAAAAUCCAUGGAGCAACUUUUUGGAUUUAAUAAAAAAUAUUGGCAAAAGAAUCAACACCAGGGGGCCCACACCCUGUCCACAAGGGUGGGGGCGCACUCCCCUGCCUCGUGGGCCCCUUGGACCUCCACCGACCUCUACUCCAACUCCAUAUAUUCACGUUCGGGGAGAAAAAACAUCAGAGAGAAGGAUUCAUCGCGUUUUGCAUUACGGAGCCGCCAUCAAGCCCUAAACUCUCUCGGGAGGGCUGAUAUUGAGUCCGUUUGGGGCUCUGGAGAGGGGAAUCUGUCGCCGUCGUCAUCAUCAACCUUCCUCCAUCACCAAUUUCAUGAUGCUCACCGCUGUGCGUGAGUAAUUCCAUCGUAGGCUUGCUGGACGGUGAUGGGUUGGAUGAGAUUUACCAUGUAAUUAAGUUAGUUUUGUUAGGGUUUGAUCCCUAGUAUCCACUAUGUUCUGAGAUUGAUGUUGCUAUGACUUUGCUAUGCUUAAUGCUUGUCACGAGGGCCCGAGUGCCAUGAUUUCAGAUCUGAACCUAUUAUGUUUUCAUGAAUAUAUGUGAGUUCUUGAUCCUAUCUUGCAAGUCUAUAGUCACCUAUUAUGUGUUAUGAUCCGUUAACCCCGAAGUGACAAUAAUCAGGAUACUUACCGGUGAUGACCAUAGUUUGAGGAGUUCAUGUAUUCACUAAGUAUUAAUGCUUUGGUUCGGUAAUCUAUUAAAAGGAGGCCUUAAUAUCCCUUAGUUUCCAAUAGGACCCUGCUGCCACGGGAGGGUAGGACAAAAGAUGGCAUGCAAGUUCUUUUCCAUAAGCACGUAUGACUAUAUUCAGAAUACAUGCCUACAUUAUAUUGAUGAACUGGAGCUAGUUCUGUGUCACCCUAUGUUAUAACUAUUACAUGAGGAAUCGCAUCCGACAUAAUUAUCCAUCACUGAUCCAAUGCCUACGAGCUUUUCACAUAUUGUUCUUUGCUUAGUUACUUUGCCGUUGCCACUGUUAUAAUUACUACAAAACUGCUACUGUUACUUUUUCCACUGUUACCAUUACUUCCAUACUACUUUGCUACUAAAUACUUUGCUGCAGAUAUUAAGUUAUCCAGGUGUGGUUGAAUUGACAACUCAACUGCUAAUACUUGAGAAUAUUCUUUGGCUCCCCUUGUGUCGAAUCAAUAAAUUUGGGUUGAAUACUCUACCCUAAAAAACUGUUGCGAUCCCCUAUACUUGUGGGUUAUCAAGUGUCGGUGUCAAAACUGGCAGAUCUCGGGUAGGGGGGGCCAAGCUAUAUGUCUGAGGAUCGAUGGUAACUAUGAUCAAAAGGACACAAUGUUUACCCAGGUUCGGGCCCUCUUAAUGGAGGUAAAACCCUACUCCUGCUUGAUUAUAUUCAAUGAGUAUAGGGGUUACAAGAGUUGAUCUACCUCGAGAUCGUAAUGGCUAAACCCUAGCUUGACUAGCCUAUCAACGUCGUGAUCCUUCCUUCGAUCUCACCCUCCGGUUUAUAUAGGUACCGGAGGGGCAUUAGGGUUGUACAAAGUCCGUUUAACAGAAAGGAAAUAGUACAUCCAGACACCUAAACUUGCUAUCCAUGUAUACGUGAGUCCCUACCAGACACGAGAAUUGGUCGUCUGCCUUGUAUCUUGACGGCCCGUCAGUCCGGCCCAUAUCCAAUAGACCGGACGCCCGAGGACCCCCUAGUCCAGGACUCCCUCAGUAGCCCCUGAACCAGUCUUCAAUGAAGAAGUGUUCGGCGUGCAAAUUAUCUUCGGCAUUACGAGGUGGGUUCCCUGAACAGUAUACGUCAGUCUUCCUUCAUAAAAGAAUUGUAUUCGGCCUUGCAUAAUUAACACAACCAUUAGCCUUGAAAGCAGGAUAUAUAUAAAAAAUAGGAAUAGUAUCUUUACUGACAACUUUUUCGGCGAAGCGUCGGACUUACCCUUCAGCGUUUUGAACCAUUUUCACAUCCCGCGUUACGUGUUUCGAGGCCAAGCCCCAUUGGCCCGUCUUGUCAAAACAGAGAUCGUGCCCACUUAAUACGGGAUUGCUCAUCAAUAAAAUUUGGGUAAUCCAACCAUUUACGGCACAUGCUUUCAUUGGGAAUAAGCGAGUUUCAAGUCACAAGUGGGGGGACGGUUGGCAUUUUUACCACCUAUAAGAGGGCAAUGGAUUUCUCCUUUCUUCCCCACGCCUUCCAAUCUCCUCAGCCUUGUAAUCUCCCAAGCUCUCAGCACCCGAAAAGUUCUCAUCUUCCUCACCACCACCACCACCACCUCCUCCGACCAUGGCGGGAUCCGGUUCCAAGGGCAAGUGGGAGGCCUCCUCCGUCACGGGGAAGGAGAUAAAGGAUCUCCGGAGUGCGGGUUACCUAUCCGCCACCAUCACGCACAGGCUCCCCCCAAGGGUCUGAUCAUCCCCACUCCGAAGCCCGGCGAAAGGGUCGUCUUCCUCCUCCAUUUCCUUAGAGGGUUAGGUUUUCACACCACCCCUUCGUCUGCGGACUUAUGUUCUACUACGGGCUAGAUUUCCAUGAUCUAGCCCCGAACUCUUUCCUCCACAUCUCGGCGUUUAUCGUCGUGUGUGAGGAUCUUCACCGCAUCCCCCCACACUUCGGCCUGUGGCUGAAAGUCUACAGUGUGAAGCCGAAGGUGGUCGACGGGCAACACGAGGACUGCGGCGGGGCCAUGAUAAGCAAGCUGCCCAACGCCACGUGGCCCAAGGGGGCCUUCGUCGAGACCGUCAAGAUCUGGCAACAAGAGUGGUUUUAUAUCACUGAGACGCGCCGUACCAAGUGGGCGGCGAUUCCAGAGUUCAGAUCCAGGCCCCCCAUGAGGCUCAUCUCUUGGACCGCAAAGGGCCUCGACUAGGGGUCCCAGACGGAGGUGCAAAUGCUGCAGACGCGUAUCACCAACGUGCUGAGCAAAAAUGUUGGUCUAACCAACAUAGUGCAGAUUAUGCUCUUCCGCCGCAUCCUCCCCUACCAGCGCCGGACUUCCCCCGUGUGGCAGUUCAACCCGGAGGAGCCGCGGACUCUGCAGCAUUUCCUCGGCACGACGCACGAGGAAAUGUGGAAGCUACUCUUUGAUACGUCUCCAAUGUAUCUGUAAAUUUUGAUUGUUCCAUGCUAUUAUAUUACCUGUUUUGGAUGUUUAAUGGGCUUUACUAUACACUUUUAUAUCAUUUUGAUGACUAAUCUAUUAACCGGAGGCCCAGCCCAAAUUGUUGUUUUCUUGCCUAUUUCAGUGUUUCGCAGAAAAGGAAUAUCAAACGGAGUCCAAACGGAAUGAAACCGUCGAGAGAGUUAUUUUUGGAACAAACGCAAUCCAGGAGACUUGGAGAGGAUGUCAAGAAACAAACGAGGAAGCCAAGAGGCAGGGAGGCGCGCCCUAGGGGGGUGGGCGCGCCCCCCACCCUCGUGCGCCCCUUGUGGCUCCCCUGACCGACUUCCUUCGCCUAUAUAUCACUACAAGAAAUAUGUCAACUUGUGACCACCCCUAUUGGUCGCUGAAAGGUCAUAGUUUUUCAUUUGCGACCUUUUUAUGACCAAAAACAAAAGGUCAAAAGCUGGCAGUCGUAAACUGAAAUUAGUGACCUUUUUUGCGAUAUGUAAAAGUCCGUUGGUUCCACGACCAAAUUUUUGGUCACAAGCAACCUCCCCAGACCACGUAGGCAUCCAGCAUGGCAAGCUGAUGUGGCACAAGAAUCAGUCCAGUCCGAUUCAGUGUUUUACAUGGGCCGAGCCCAACAAUUCAGCCUAUUUGUGUUUUUUUCUAUCUGUCAAUUUUUGGUUGGGUUCAUGGGCCAAGCCCAAUAUUGCAGCCUUUUUAUUGUUGGGCCGUUGCCUUUUUGUCUCAACAGUUUCAUUUUUUCUUUUUUUAUAAAGUGGGUUCACUAGUCAGGUGGGUCCCCAUUGUCAGGUUCUAGUACUAGGUCCUAGCCGUCAGGGCAAUAUUCUUCAAUUUUUUUAGUUUAACACAAAUAAAUACCUAGUAUUUAAAUUGGCACACAGAACACACGAAAUACUUCAAAUAGUAUCAACCAUCAAAGUGCUACAUCAUAUAACACACAUACAAAUGUGAUCAGCAUCAAGUUUACAACCAGAUAACAAGCUCCACAAGUGUACAAUCACAUGAGCCAGGUUCUGCUACAUCAUACACACAUACGAAUAGGAGCAGCAUAAAGGGCUUCAUUAAUGCAAAACUUGACAGUUGACAGCAAUGUUAGAACUAUGCUUCCUCCGACUUCUUUGUCCUGAUGCUCACGAAGAAACAUGAAAGCCCAGCAUCUGCACGUUACAGAACAAAAUGUUUAGGAACAAAAUAGAAGUAAAUCUAAUAGCAUACUUAACAAUAAAUAACAGAAUAAUGUAAUAAAUUGGUACAGAGCAUAGGCCAGGUCAACAAUAAAUUGGUACUAAAUCCAGUAAUAACCAUCUGAAAUGAACUUAAUAAGACAUUUUAGAAUCAACUUGACAGUUGAUAGUAAUGUUUGCAUUGGACACAUCCAGAACUAAAAUUAUACAUAAAUACCUAAAUUCCAAUGCCCAAUGCCUCAGUAAAAUAAACACUAAGCAUGGUACAUAGUAAAGAUUUGACACAACCAGAACUGAAAUCAUUUACUCUAUCAAGCAUAUCUACAAUGAUGCGACACACCAGAAAAGAGAGAUGCACAGUGGAGUAGCAUCAUAUAUCACACAACAUGGACACUCUUUGAACAAGCAUAGUGUUUAGGUCUAAAACCACAGUCAAUUUCAGAAGCAUGUCGAAUAACUAAACAUACAUACAUGUGUAUAUAGAAGUAGCAAAAGCAAAUAAUAAAUAUAUCAUCUUUCUUCCUCUACUACACUAACUAACCUAUCUUAUUGUUCAGCUAGAGGUUCCAUCAGGCCAUGAUCAACUACUCCAAACCAUUGCAUGCUUUGCAAAAAAAAUACUAGAUGAAUCUCACUAACAUGAGCACUAGGUGAUUAAUGGAAGAAGUAAUCUGCAGAUUACAAAGUGAACAAGUGAAGGAUUUAUAUAUCUCCCUGUGGAACAACUAAGUUGAUGAAGACAUGCAGCAGCAACAGCAGAAGCCUUGCAUCAUUGGUUUGGUCGGGUCGACGCUGGAAAGAGCGCCGCUGUACAUGAUCGGCACCCGAGCGGCUCAACCUCUCUAUCCCCUGCCUCAACUUACCCGUGCGGUUGCUGCAGUUUGAUACAAGUGUGUAAAUACAACAUACUUUGCAUCAUAUAUCUAGACUAUAACAUCUUAUUCUCACCAGCAGAGCAUGAAAGUUCCAUCGGGUUGCAUCAAAAUCACUACUGAAAAUAAAAAGAUGGCAUGUAAUAAUAGUAACAGGCUGCUGUAGUAAUAUAUAUUCAUGGUAGGUCAAUGGCAGAGCAUGAAAGUUCCAUCAGGUUGCAUGUAUAUCAGAGAACUAUUACUACAUGCAAAGGUUCAAUGGAUCCAAAUAAACAUGCACAUCAGGAAACUAGAGGAACAGACAGUCAACACGUAUAUAUCUAGUCAAUAAAAUAUGCAUGCAAAGUUGUACUCAUGUAGGCAUGCCUUCACAUCAGAAUUUAGAAACAUCAGAGUCUCGCUGCAUCUCAAAAUCAAGCCGAUCUAACAUGUAGGCACUGAUUAACAGAUCCAAUAAUACUAAUGCAAUUGUAAUCAUACAACAGAACACAGUAGAGGAGGCUCGAUCGUUCAACAUUUCCAGUGCAAGCAUUGUACAAAGAAAACCAAAUUGAAACCCAGUAAGACACUAUUACAGUACAGUAUGACGGCGUCUAUUGCCCAUCUGGAAAACAAGGUGACAUACUACAGGUUCAAAAUUUUCCUACCAAUCAUGAUAUGUUUGUACAAUGGUUGGUGUAUGAGGAGCUCGACACUGUAUGAUGUAUAACAGAUGUUGUAUAAUAGAGAAGAACGGCAAAAAACAUUUGGUGGCAUUGAGCUAUUGACAUAAGUAUGCAAAAAAGCUACUCAGUUGCUAGCAAGAUGAAUCAACGAGAACUGUGAAGGUAGGAGUCUAGAAAGGUAUUCCCUGUUGGAAAUCGACUACGAUAGCAGUUAAGCUAUGCAUCAUUCUUGGUGGUGGAUCUCAUCCCUGUCAUUUUUAGCAAUCACUGCACGUGGAAGAAGUAAAGCAUGUCAGUGUAUUGAUUUUCAAACACACAAAAAUGAAGGAGAAAAAGGCAGCCAAAAUAUAACUGCAGGGCCCUCUUAACAAAUAAUGUUUGUGCUCAAUCUGUUAGUACAAACACUAUUAUAUCCGCCACAUGCACAGGCCAAUUUAUAUGCCUAUUCAUAUGCCUAAAAACUAAGAUUUUCUAGCAAGAAAGAUGGCAGCACAGUUGACCUUGAAGGCAGUAAGAAAUUUCAUCAUCUUAUCAUUGGUCUGAGAAUUAAUAGGGAGCAACUAGAGUAAAAUUUGGGCUUGUGGUAGAAGAAUAGAAAAAUUGAUACUGGGCCUUCGGAUCAAACAUGGUUGGUACAGAUUCAUGUGAGGGAUCCCAGGCCACUUAUUGUACAUUUCAUGAAAAAAUAUCUAGUAUAAUUAGAUAUAAAACAAGAGCUUUUAAAGUAACCACAUCAAAGUUUACUCAGUUUGGAUACAAAUAGCAAACUGAUUCAUAAAAGCAUUACCCCACAACCUUCAUUGUCCCACAUAUAUUGUCCCCACGGUUUACUCACGUUGUCCUCCACUCACUGUACAUAUAUUACCCCACAAAAGCUGUACAGUAAAACAUCAAAGUUUACUCAUGUUUUCCCCACGGUUCAAUGGAAUGCAUUGUAUCUAAUCAGGACAUCCAAUCAGUGGUUUCAUCAUCACAGAGAACCCACAAACAUGUACAGGAAGGGAGUAGAUACCUUUGUCUCCUUGGAGCUCCUUGUGCAGGUCAUGCCCUCCAUCUACUUGCUCGACAGUAAUACUCUAGAUGCAUCCUGGAUAGAGGUCGAUGUGUGGAGUAAUAGUAGUAGAUGCAGAAUCGUUUUGAUCUACUUGUCGCGGACGUGAUGCCUAUAUGCAUGAUCAUGCCUAGAUAUUCUCAUAACUAUGCACUUUUCUAUCAAUUGCUCGACAGUAAUUUGUUCACCCACUGUAAUACUUACUCUAUCUUGAGAGAAGCCACUAGUGAAACCUAUGGCCCCCGGGUCUAGUUUCCAUCAUAUAAGUUUCUAUCUACUUUAUUUUGUGAUCUUUACUUUCCAAUCUAUAUCAUAAAAAUUCCAAAAAUAUUUAUCUUAUUCUUAUCUCUAUCAGAUCUCACUUUUGCAAGUGGCCGUGAAGGGAUUGACAACCCCUUUAUCGCGUUGGUUGCGUGGUUCUUAUUUGUUUUUGUAGGUACGAGGGACUUGCGUGUAGCCUCCUACUGGAUUGAUACCUUGGUUCUCAAAAACUAAGGAAAAUACUUACGCUACUUUGCUGCAUCACCCUUUCCUCUUCAGGGGAAAACCAACGCAGUGCUCAAGAGGUAGCACUCUUCAAGGUGCAGAAGAGCUGGCCCAUGGAGACCGAAGACGUCAACCUCGAUGCCGAGAAUCCGGCCACUCCGAUAAGUGUCAAUUUCCCGAAGACAUGUCCGGCCUAUAUAUAUUCGAUCGAUACAAAUCUUAUCAGCCUACUUUUUUUACAGGGCCGGACAAAGAAGGCGGAGCGGAUCAAGAGUCUGGCUCCGUUGCCGGAAGACCCAGUCACCCCUCAGCUGGAGGAGAUGCUGGUCCCGAUGCCCUAUCAGACGCUAGAGAAGAAGACCAAGAAGAAGGGCAAGGGGCCCAAGGACGGGCCCUGCCGCAAAGGUCCUUCGGACGCAGUGUCCGGAGAGACCGAGGCCGUCUCCUCUCACGAGGGAGACGAGGACGAAGAGGAGGAGGAAGAGGAGGUUGAGAGCGACUCCCCUCGCAUCACAAGGAGGAAGAAGAGGACGACCUCCGAGAAUCCGGAGGAGGCGACGCCGAAGAGGAAGAAAGUUACCCUCUCGGUGAGUUUGGACUCGGAGUCCGAACACAGCCCAAGGAGAGCUCCCACGAUCAAGCCCCUGGCCGAUUCAUAAGUAUCAAAACCUUAAUUGUCAAGUUUCUCGCUUACCCGCCUCUGCAUAAACUGUAUCUUCGCUCAUAUUUCAGCCCUCCGUGCGAUAUCCCGCACCGGUACCCCUCGACUUCGUCAGGGAAUUCUCUGCCGCUUGAAGAGGCGGAGAGCGACGGACCAUCGCGAGCCUUCUCCCCCCUGCCAUGGAGGACACCGAGGUGUCGUCCCAAAGGACCUCUCCUAGCCGAGGAGGGGCGGACGAGGCCGUCCAGAAGGCACCCUAGGGUAACACCUCGGAUGCCAUAGAGCCGGGCACGGCGACCCCCAUGAUCAUCGGAGGUGGGGGGCCUCAACAGUGUGGGCCCUUGCUGAACACCAUCCCGAGACCAAUGCGGCUCCGAACUCGGUCCAACACCCCCCUUCAACAGAGGGCGGAGGAGUAGCAGCUCCAUCGGCGGCCUCUGUUAAACUGGAGGCCACUAAUACUCUGGAGGAAGCGGUGCAACGUGCUUCCAUCAUGGAGGAGCACCGCACCCUGAUGGAUGUUGUUAUGGAAAAGGUUCGGUCCGCGAAGGCGGUCUGGCCGAAGCCUUCAAUAGCCUACUGACGGGCUUUGAGGUAUGCGACGUAAUUCUCUUACAAAUUAUUUUAUAUGCAAGGUUGAACCCCAUGCAUAGACAGUAGCCCCUGAGACUCUGUCCGACAGAGGAUCAAAAACAAGUUGAUAAUGUAUCAUACUAUCUUGUUGUACAUGCAUCUAUGAUGGCGGUUACUGCCCAAGCUGCAGAGGUUUCCGAGCUCAAUCGGAAGCUUCAGCUAGUCGAUGAGGAACUCGACCGCGUCAAUAAGCGGUUUAACGAAACCCAAGGUAUGUGGCACUAUUACAUACCCGAAGUGAUAUGUGUGCUAAUUCUUUAAAUUUACUGAGUGUUAUAACUAUACUCACAGUUGGCGCAGCCGAGAUCGAGUCCCUCAAGAGCGCCCUCGGCCAAGCCAAGAGGAGGCGGAGGUGAGCAAGCCGGCCGCUGACAAAGCGGCCAAGAAGUUGGAGGUGGAGCGAACCGCCCGUGAACAACACGGGGCGCGGGUGGGCAAGGUCGAACAGGAGCUCAAGGACGCUAUUGCCAAGUGCGAGUCCUUAGAGCAGAACAGUUCAGAACAAGCCUCCGAGCUCACAAAAGAUCUUGAGAGCAUGAAAGAAGCUCGGGUUGAAUCCCAGGGAGCUCGCCAGGAGAUACAGGAGGCGAGACAGAUAGCGGUUGGUAAGGCCUUUCUGUUGGGGAACGUAGCAGAAAUUCAAAAUUUUCCUAUGUGUCACCAAGAUCUAUCUAUGGAGAAACCAGCAACGAGGGGAAGGAGAGUGCAUCUACAUACCCUUGUAGAUUGCUAAGCGGAAGCGUUCAAAAGAACGGGGUUGAAGGAGUCGUACUCGUCGUGAUCCAAAUCACCGGAGAUCCUAGUGCCGAACGGAUGGCACCUCCGCGUUCAACACACGUACAGCCCGGUGACGUCUCCCACGCCUUGAUCCAGCAAGGAGAGAGGGAGAGGUUGAGGAAGACUCCGUCCAGCAGCAGCACAACGGCGUGGUGAUGGUGGAGGAGAGUGGCAAUCCUGCAGGGCUUCGCCAAGCACCGCGGGAGAGGAGAAGGGAGAGAGGUAGGGCUGCGCCAAGAGGGAGAGGUUCUCGUGUCUUGGGCAGCCCCAAAACCCCCACUAUUUAUAGGAGGAGGGGAGGUGGCUGCGCCCCCAUCUAGGGUUCCCACCCAAGGGGUGCGGCAGCCCUAGAUGGGACUUGGGGGCGGCCAAGAGGGGGAGAGAGGGGGCGCCCCCUAGGGUGGGCCUUUAGGCCCAUCUGCGCCUUGGGUUUCCCCUCUCCCCACCUAGCUGCGCCUUGGGCCAUGUGGGGGGGGCGCACCAGCCCACCUGGGGCUGGUCCCCUCCCACACUUAGCCCAUGCAGCCCUCCGAGGAUGGUGGCCCCACUUGGUGGACCCCCGGGACCCUCCCGGUGGUCCCGGUACGUUACCGAAAAAACCCGAAACUUUUCCGGUGACCAAAACAGGACUUCCCAUAUAUAAAUCUUUACCUCCGGACCAUUCCGGAACUCCUCGUGACGUCCAGGAUCUCAUCCGGGACUCCGAACAACAUUCGGUAACCACAUACAAACUUCCUUUAUAACCCUAGCGUCAUCGAACCUUAAGUGUGUAGACCCUACGGGUUCGGGAGACAUGUAGACAUGACCGAGACAUUCUCCAGUCAAUAACCAACAGCGGGAUCUGGAUACCCAUGUUGGCUCCCACAUGUUCCAUGAUGAUCUCAUCGGAUGAACCAUGAUGUCAAGGACUCAAUCGAUCCCGUAUACAAUUCCCUUUGUCUAGCGGUAUUGUACUUGCCCGAGAUUCGAUCGUAGGUAUCCCGAUACCUUGUUCAAUCUCAUUACCGGCAAGUCUCUUUACUUGUUCCGUAACACAUCAUCCCGUGAUCAACCCCUUGGUCACAUUGUGCACAUUAUGAUGAUGUCCUACCGAGUGGGCCCAGAGAUACCUCUCCGUUUACACAGAGUGACAAAUCCCAGUAUCGAUUCGUGCCAACCCAACAGACACUUUCGGAGAUACCUGUAAUGCACCUUUAUAGCCACCCAGUUACUUGUGACGUUUGGUACACCCAAAGCAUUCCUACGGUAUCCGGGAGUUGCACAAUCUCAUGGUCUAAGGAAAUGAUACUUGACAUUAGAAAAGCUUUAGCAUACGAACUAUGAUCUUUGUGCUAGGCUUAGGAUUGGGUCUUGUCCAUCACAUCAUUCUCCUAAUGAUGUGAUCCCGUUAUCAACGACAUCCAAUGUCCAUGGUUAGGAAACUGUAACCAUCUAUUGAUCAACGAGCUAGUCAACUAGAGGCUUACUAGGGACAUGGUGUUGUCUAUGUACCCACACAUGUAUCUGAGUUUCCUAUCAAUACAAUUAUAGCAUGGAUAAUAAACGAUUAUCAUGAACAAGGAAAUAUAAUAAUAACUAAUUUAUUAUUGACUCUAGGGCAUAUUUCCAACAGUCUCCCACUUGCACUAGAGUCAAUAAUCUAGUUCACAUCGUCAUGUGAUUAACGAUCAUAGGUCACAUCGCCAUGUGACCAACAUCCAAAGAGUUUACUAGUGUCUGUAAACUAGUUCACAUCAUCAUGUGAUUAAGACUCAAUGAGUUCUCAGGUUUGAUCAUGUUUUUGCUUGUGAGAGAGGUUUUUAGUCAUCGGGUCUGAACCUUUCAGAUCCGCGCGUGCUUUGCAAAUUUCUAGGUCAUAUUGUAAACGCUGCUUCCACGCUCCACUAGGAUCUAUUCCAAAUGGUUGCUCCACUAUACGUAUCCGGUUUGCUACUCAGAGUCACUCGGAUAGGUGUUAAAGCUUGCAUCGACGUAACCCCUUACACCGAACUCUUUAUUACCUCCAUAAUCGAGAAACAUGUCCUUAUUUACUCCAAGGACAAUUAUUGACCACUGUCCAAUGAUCCAUUCCUGGAUCAUUCUUGUACCCCUUGAGUGACUCAUGGCAAGGCACACUUCCGGUGCGGUACACAGCAUGGCAUACUAUAGAGCCUAUGUCUGAAGCAUAGGGGACGACCUUCAUCCUUUCUCUCUUUUCUGCCAUGGUCGAGCUUUAACUCUUAACUUCAUACCUUACAUCUCAGGCAAGAACUCCUUCUUCGACUGAUCCAUCUUGAACACCUUCAAGAUCAUGUCAAGGUAUGUGCUCAUUUGAAAGUAUUAUUAAGCAUUUUGAUCUAUCCUUAUAGAUCUUGAUGCUCAAUGUUCAAGUAGCUUAAUCCAGGUUUUCUAUUGAAAAACACCUUUCAAAUGACCAUGUAUGCUUUCCAGAAAUUCUACAUCAUUUCUGAUCAACAAUAUGUCAACAACAUAUACUUAUUAGAAAUUCUAUAGCGCUCCCACUCACUUCUUUGGAAAUACAAGUUUCUCAUAAACUUUAUAUAAACCCAAAAACUUUGAUCAUCUCAUCAAAGCAUACAUUCCAACUCCGAGAUGCUUACUCCAGUCCUUAGAAGGAUCGCUGGAGCCAGCAUACCUUUUAGCAUCCUUAGGAUCGACAAAAACUUUCUGAUUGUAUCACAUACAACCUUUCCUUACGAAGACUGGUAAGGAAACUCGUUUUGACAUCCAUCUGCCAGAUUUCAUAAAUGCAGCUAAUGCUAACAUGAUUCCAAUGGACUUAAGCAUCACUACGGGUGAGAAAAUCUCACCGUAGUCAACUCCUUGAACUUGUGAAAAACUCUUCGCCACAAGUCGAGCUUCAUAGACGGUAACAUUACCGUCCACGUCCGUCUUUUUCUUAAAGAUCCAUUUUUCUCAAUGGCUUGCCUAUCACGGAUUUUAUGGCCUCGAGCCAUUCGUCAGAAUCCGGACCCACCAUCGCUUCUCCAUAGCUCGUAGGAUCAUUGUUGUCUAGCAACAUGACCUUCAAGACAUGAUUACUGUACCACUCUGAAGUAGUAUGCAUCCUUGUCACCCUACGAGGUACGGUAGUGACUUGAUCCGAAACUUCAUGAUUACUAUCAUAAGCUUCUACUUCAAUUGGUGUAGGCGCCACAGGAACAACUUCCUGUGCCCUGCUGCACACUAGUUGAAGUGACGGUUCAUUAACCUCAUCAAGUCUCCACCAUCCUCCCACUCAAUUCUUUCGAGAGAAACUUUUCCUCGAGAAAGGACCUGUUUCUAGAAACAAUUACUUUUGCUUCCGGAUCUGAGACAGGAGGUAUACCCAACUAUUUUGGGUGUCAUAUGAAGAUGCAUUUUAGCCGCUUUGGGUUCGAGCUUAUCAACCUGAAACUUUUCACAUAAGCGUCGCAGCCCCAAACUCUUAAGAAACGACAACUUAGGUUUCUCCAAACCAUAGUUCAAUCAGUGUCGUCUCAACGGAAUUACGUGGUGCCCUAUUAAAGUGAGUGUGGUUGUCUCUAAUGCCUAACCCAUGAAUGAUAGUGGUAAUUCGAUAAGAGACAUCAUGGUGCACACCAUAUCUAAUAGGGUGCAACUAUGAUGUUCGGACACACCAUCACACUAUGGUGUUCUAGGCGGUAUUAAUUGUGAAACUAUUUCCUCAAUGUCUCAAUUGUGUACCAAACUCGCAACUCGGAUAUUCAUCUCUAUGAUCAUAUCAUAGACAUUUUAUCCUCUUGUCACGGCGAUCUUCAACUUCACUCUUGAAAUUACUUGAACCAUUCAAUAAUUCAGACUUGUGUUUCAUCAAGUAAAUAUACUCAGUAUCUACUCAAAUCAUCUGUGAAGUAAGAACAUAACGAUAUCCACUGCGUGCCUCAGCACUCAUUGGACUGCACACAUCAAAAUGUAUUACUUCCAACAAGUUGCUUUCUCGUUCCAUUUUACUGAAAAUGAGGCUUUCAGUCAUCUUGCCCGUCUGGUGUGAUUUGCACGUCUCAAGUGAUUCAAAAAUCAAGUGAGUCCGAACGGUCCAUUUGCAUGGAGUUUCUUCAUGCAUAUACACCAAUAGACAUGGUUCGCAUGUCUCAAACUUUUCAAAAUGAGUGAGUCCAAAGAUCCAUCAACAUGGAGCUUCUUCAUGCGCUUUAUACCAAUAUGACUUACAUGGCAGUGCCACAAGUAAGUGGUACUAUCAUUACUAUCUUAUACCUUUUGGCAUGAAAAUAUGUAUCACUACGAUCGAGAUUCAAUAAACCAUUCCUUUAGGUGCAAGACCAUUAAAAGUAUUAUUCAAAUAAAUAGAGUAACCAUUAUUCUCCUUAAAUGAAUAACCGUAUUGCGAUAGACAUAAUCCAAUCAUGUCUAUGCUCAACGCAAACACCAAAUAACAAUUAUUUAGGUCUAACACCAAUCUCGAUGGUAGAGGGAGAAUGCGAUGCUUGAUCACAUCAAGCUUGGAAACACUUCCAACACAUAUCGUCAUCUCCCCUUUAGCUAGUCUCCGUUCAUUCCGUAGCUUUUAUUUCGAGUUACUAACACUUAGCAACCGAACCGGUAUCUAAUACCUGGUGCUACUAGGAGUACUAGUAAAGUACACAUUAACAUAAUGUAUAUCCAAUAUACUUCUUUCGACCUUGCCAGCCAUCUCAUCUACCAAGUAUCUAGGGUAAUUCCGCUCUAGUGACUGUUCCCCUUAUCACAGAAGCACUUAGUCUUGGGUUUGGGUUCAACCUUGGGUUUCUUCACUAGAGCAGCAGCUGAUUUGCUGUUUCAUGAAGUAUCCCUUCUUGCCCUUGCCCUUUUCGAAACUAGUGGUUUUACCAACCAUCAACAAUUGAUGCUCCUUCUUGAUUUCUACUUUCGUGGUGUCAAACAUCGCGAAUAUCUCAAGGAUCAUCAUAUCUAUCCCUGAUAUGUUAUAGCUCAUCACGAAGCUCUAGCAGCUUGGUGGCAAUGACUUUGGAGAAACAUCACUAUCUCAUCUGGAAGAUCAACUCCCACUCGAUUCAAGUGAUUGUUGCACUCAGACAAUCUGAGCACAAGCUUAACGAUUGAGCUUUUCUCCCUUAGUUUGUAGGCUAAGAAAAUCGUCGGAGGUCUUAUACCUCUUGACGUGGGCACAAGCCUGAAAUCCCAAUUUCAGCCCUCGAAACAUCUCAUAUGUUCCGCGACGUUUCGAAAAACGUCUUUGGUGCCUCAACUCUAAACCGUUUAACUAAACUAUCACGUAGUUAUCAAAACGUGUAUGUCCGAUGUUUGCAACAUCCACAAACGACGUUUGGGGUUCAGCACACUGAGUGUUGCAUUAAGGACACAAGCUUUCUACUGUCCGCAUAAUCGCUACUUUCAACUUUCAACUAUUUUUUUCUCUAGGAACAUAUCUAAACAGUGGAACUAAAGCGCGAGCUUACGACAUAAUUUGCAAAGAUCUUUUGACUAUGUUCAGGAUAAUUAAGUUCAUCUUAUGAACUCGCACUCAGAUAGACAUCCCUCUAGUCAUCUAAGUGAUUACAUGAUCCGAGUCAACUAGGCCGUGUCCGAUCAUCACGUGAGACGGACUAGUCAUCAUCGGUGAACAUCUUCAUGUUGAUCGUAUCUACUAUACGACUCAUGCUCGACCUUUCGGUCUCUGUGUUCCGAGGCCAUGUCUGUACAUGCUAGGCUCGUCAAGUUAACCCUAAGUGUUUCGCGUGUGUAAAUCUGUCUUACACCCAUUGUAUGUGAACGUAAGAAUCCAUCACACCCGAUCAUCACCUGGUGCUUAGAAGCGACGAACUUUAGCAACGGUGCACAGUUAGGGGAGAACACUUCUUGAAAUUGUUGUAAGGGAUCAUCUUAUUUACUACCGUCGUUCUAAGUAAACAAGAUGCAUAAACAUAAUAAACAUCACAUGCAAUUAUAUAGUAGUGACAUGAUAUGGCCAAUAUCAUAUAGCUCCAUUGAUCUCCAUCUUCGGGGCUCCAUGAUCAUCAUCAUCACCGGCAUGACACCAUGAUCUCCAUCAUCAUGUCUUCAUGAAGUUGUCUCGCCAACUAUUACUUCUAUUACUAUGGCUACCGGUUAGCAAUAAAGUAAAGUAAUUACAUGGCAUUGUUUAAUGACACGCAGGUCAUACAAUAAAUAAAGACAACUCCUAUGGCUCCUGCCGGUUGUCAUACUCAUCGACAUGCAAGUCGUGAAUCCUAUUACAAGAACAUGAUCAAUCUCAUACAUCACAUAUCAUUCAUCACAUUCUUCUUGGCCAUAUCACAUCACAUAGCAUACCCUGCAAAAACAAGUUAGACGUCCUCUAAUUGUUGUUUGCAUGUUUUACGUGGCUGCUAUGGGUUUCUAGCAAGAACGUUUCUUACCUACGCAAAACCACAACAUGAUAUGCCAAUUGCUAUUUACCCUUCAUAAGGACCCUUUUCAUCGAAUCCGUUCCGACUAAAGUGGGAGAGACUGGCACCCGCUAGCCACCUUAUGCACCAAGUGCAUGUCAGUCGGUGGAACCUGUCUCACGUAAGAGUACGUGUAAGGUCGGUCCGGGCCGCUUCAUCCCACAAUACCGUCGAAACAAGAUUGGACUAGUAACAGUAAGCAUAUUGAACAACAUCAACGCCCACAACUACUUUGUGUUCUACUCGUGCAAAGAAUCUACGCAAUAGACCUAGCUCAUGAUGCCACUGUUGGGGAACGUAGCAGAAAUUCAAAAUUUUCCUACGUGUCACCAAGAUCUAUCUAUGGAGAAACCAGCAACGAGGGGAAGGAGAGUGCAUCUACAUACCCUUGUAGAUCGCUAAGCGGAAGCGUUCAAGAGAACAGGGUUGAAGGAGUCGUACUCGUCGUGAUCCAAAUCACCGGAGAUCCUAGUGCCGAACGGACGGUACCUCCGCGUUCAACACACGUACAACCCGGUGACGUCUCCCACGCCUUGAUCCAGCGAGGAGAGAGGGAGAGGUUGAGGAAGACUCCGUCCAGCAGCAGCACAACGGUGUGGUGAUGGUGGAGGAGAGUGGCAAUCCUGCAGGGCUUCGCCAAGCACCGCGGGAGAGGAGAAGGGAGAGAGGUAGGGCUGCGCCAAGAGGGAGAGGUUCUCGUGUCUUGGGCAGCCCCAAAACCCCCACUAUUUAUAGGAGGAGGGGAGGUGGCUGCGCCCCCAUCUAGGGUUCCCACCCAAGGGGUGCGGCAGCCCUAGAUGGGACUUGGGGGGCGGCCAAGAGGGGGAGAGAGGGGGCGCCCCCUAGGGUGGGCCUUUAGGCCCAUCUGCGCCUAGGGUUUCCCCUCUCCCCACCUAGCUGCGCCUUGGGCCAUGUGGGGGGGCGCACCAGCCCACCUGGGGCUGGUCCCCUCCCACACUUAGCCCAUGCAGCCCUCCGGGGAUGGUGGCCCCACUUGGUGGACCCCCGGGACCCUCCCGGUGGUCCCGGUACGUUACCGAAAAAACCCGAAACUUUUCCGGUGACCAAAACAGGACUUCCCAUAUAUAAAUAUUUACCUCCGGACCAUUCUGGAACUCCUCGUGACGUCCGAGAUCUCAUCCGGGACUCCGAACAACAUUCGGUAACCACAUACAAACUUCCUUUAUAACCCUAGCGUCAUUGAACCUUAAGUGUGUAGACCCUACGGGUUCGGGAGACAUGUAGACAUGACCAAGACGUUCUCCGGUCAAUAACCAACAGCGGGAUCUGGAUACCAAUGUUGGCUCCCACAUGUUCCACGAUGAUCUCAUCGGAUGAACCAUGAUGUCAAGGACUCAAUCGAUCCCGUAUACAAUUCCCUUUGUCUAGCGGUAUUGUACUUGCCCGAGAUUUGAUCGUAGGUAUCCCGAUACCUUGUUCAAUCUCGUUACCGGCAAGUCUCUUUACUCGUUCCGUAACACAUCAUCCCGUGAUCAACCCCUUGGUCACAUUGUGCACAUUAUGAUGAUGUCCUACCGAGUGGGCCCAGAGAUACCUCUCCGUUUACACGGAGUGACAAAUCCCAGUCUCGAUUCGUGCCAACCCAACAGACACUUUUGGAGAUACCUGUAAUGCACCUUUAUAGCCACCCAGUUACGUUGUGACGUUUGGUACACCCAAAGCAUUCCUACGGUAUCCGGGAGUUGCACAAUCUCAUGGUCUAAGGAAAUGAUACUUGACAUUAGAAAAGCCUUAGCAUACGAACUACGAUCUUUGUGCUAGGCUUAGGAUUGGGUCUUGUCCAUCACAUCAUUCUCCUAAUGAUGUGAUCCCGUUAUCAACGACAUCCAAUGUCCAUGGUCAGGAAACUGUAACCAUCUAUUGAUCAACGAGCUAGUCAACUAGAGGCUUACUAGGGACAUGGUGUUGUCUAUGUACCCACACAUGUAUCUGAGUUUCCUAUCAAUACAAUUAUAGCAUGGAUAAGAAACGAUUAUCAUGAACAAGGAAAUAUAAUAAUAACAAAUUUAUUAUUGCCUCGAGGGCAUAUUUCCAACACUUUCUUAUGCAGAGUAAAUUUACAAGUAAGAGAUAUAUCUUGCUGACAUGAGUUUGGAGUUCUCCAAGCGCAUUUGCGGAUCUUCGGAGGAGUAUUGCUGAUGCCGUCGAGUUCUUCCGCGCCGAAGAGGGGAGCUCAACAUAGAAGCUAUUCUGGUCGCAGUACCUUGCACCAGAGUAUCCGGCGCCCCUCAGCGAUCAGCUGAAGCAGCUGACGGAGCUGCACAGAGUGGCCGGACUAGCCAUGAAGGACGUAAUAGUCCGUCUUUGGCCAGCCGAGCCCAUACCCAACAGCUACUUCGGACUUGUGAAGCAGCUGGUUGACGUGGAUCCUCGGAUCGAUGCCAUCAAGCGGUAGACCUGCAUAGAAGGUGCCUGGAUGGCCUUCGCCCGAGUCAAGGUACAAUGGGCGAAGAUGAAGGCCACCGAAAUUGCCACCGCGGGGCCGCCUGAAGGCAAGGAUCACCGGCGGCGGGAGAAAUACUUCGGCUAGGUCCUCGAGGGAUCCCGCAUUGAAGAGGGUCAAUGCUCAAAGGAUAUCAUAUUUGAGUAGUGGAGUCCGGCUUGUAAAAACCGUGUAAUGAACUCAUAGUGUGAAAUAUUUAUGCUUGCACUUUAUGAUAUUGUUAGUUUAUCCUCCUGCUUGGCCGUUUCUUUUUUUAAGUUUGAAAGUUUACUAGUCGUCGGCUUCUGCCCCCAUGUAAAUCAUACUGGGGUGUUCGGUAAUGCAUGUUCGCACUUUAUCCAACGUCUUGGUCCUAUAUAGGAGGCGUCUUGCGAGAUGAACAAUGCAAUCAAACUAUGCGGCUUUAUCACUUUCACUUAGCCAUAAGAGUACAUAGGUGGAGCUAGGUACUAGCCCCUUGUUGCGUAAACGGUGAUCCGGAGUACGGCGCCUUUGCAACGCGGCUGGUCAAAGCCCAGCCCCUCGUAUAACAUGCAUAAAUCGCGAACGGUUUUUAGUAUAACACUAAGUCACCGGAUUGCUGACCCGCUCUCGCAUAUCAUAAAAGUUAGUUUUUGGCUUUCUCUACUGAGGUACUUAACCGGACGAACCAGAAAUACAAUCACAGUAGUUCUCCCUUUACUACCUUAGCGGAACUUGCGGAACGUAAGGUGGCAAACACAGGAGCCGGGCAACCCAACUAUAGACCAACGACAUGAUCCGGAGCCGAUGCAUAUAAUGCAAUAUCCAGGACGCCGAAGAGUUCCCCAUAGGUGUUCAGACUUAAGAGUUUGCGGGGCCGAAUACAGCCCCUGGUAUGAAGGCCGUGCCGAAACAUGUACCUCAGUCGAAAGCAAGGAGGGAAUAUGGAUGACAAGAUAAUAUAAGAGCCCAAUCAAAAAAGAUGGUGAUCGUCUGCUUAAUUUAUAUCCUUAUCAAUAUGUCGAGGCGUGUUUCGAUAGACAAUGCCAUGAAUAUCAAGGUCAUGUUACAUGCCUAAAGAAAAAAAAUACAUAAGGGAAAGUCUAACACAGGGCCUAAAAAUAAUAGUUCAAAAACUCCAGCGAUGCCCUGUCGCGUGUCUGCGCUAUUUCUCCUUAGUAAUAAGUCCUUUGGUAGGAGUAUUUGAUGGUUGGGAAACACUAGCCUUGAAAGGAUCCCCGAUACAACCAUACAGCAAAUAGGGCUCUUAAUGAACCUGUAGUGAAAAAAGAUGUAUGCAGUCCAAAUAGGGUCAAGCCAUACUAUGGACUUGUUCCGCAGUGUGCCCCCGGCGCUUCCCAAGGUAUUUUGAGUGCAUAGUUAUGUACGCGCGGUACGUAAAGCCGCAACCUUAUGGGGCAGUCGGUAGAGGCUGAACUGCUAAUCGAGGUCUGGAUCCGUCAAGUUAUCACAGCGGGGCGCGAACCGAACUAUUUUAGAGAUGUUGUUGGCUUUAAUGUCCGAUGAAUUGCUCGACUUGAUAAGGCCGAUAUACACCUCGGCUGCAAGAGCCGCGAUGUGUUCUUCAGUAGGGAGGGAGCGCUCCAUAUUUCCAUUGACUGUAAUAACUCCGUGAGGUCCGGGCAUCUUAAGCUUCAAAUAAGCAUAGUGCGGGACUACAUUAAAGCGGGCGAAAGCAGUUCGUCCGAGCAGUGCGUGAUAGCCACUGCGGAAAGAGACGAUGUCGACGAUUAAUUCUUCAUUGCGAAAGUUAUCUAGGGAGCUGAAUACUACUAAAGGAAAUAUGCCCUAGAGGCAAUAAUAAAGUUAUUAUUUAUUUCCUUAAUUCAUGAUGAAUGUUUAUUAUUCAUGCUAAAAUUGUAUUAACCGAGAACUUAGUACAUGUGUGAAUACAUAGACUAAACAUAUAGUCCCUAGUAUGCCACUACUUGACUAGCUCGUUUAUCAAAGAUGGUUAUGUUUCCUAACCAUAGACAUGUGUUGUCAUUUGAUGAACAGGAUCACAUCAUUAGGAGAAUGAUGUGAUGGACAUGACCCAUCCGUUAGCUUAGCAUUAUGAUCGUGUUAGUUUCAUUGCUACUGCUUUCUUCAUGACUUAUACAAGUUCCUCAGACAAUGAGAUUAUGCAACUCCUGAAUACCGGAGGAACACUUUGUGUGCUACCAAACGUCACAAUGUAAAAGGGUGAUUAUAAAGGUGCUCUACAGGUGUCUCCGAAGGUGUUUGUUGGGUUGGCAUAGAUCAAGAUUAGGAUUUGUCACUCCGUGUUUCAGAGAGGUAUCUCUAGGCCCUCUCGGUAAUACUCAUCACUAUAAGCCUUGCAAGCAUUGUGACUAAUGAGUUAAUUGCAGGAUGAAGUAUUAUGGAACGAGUAAAGAGACUUGCCGGUAACGAGAUCGAACUAGGUAUUGAGAUACCGACGAUCGAAUCUCGGGCAAGUAACAUACCGAUGACAAAGGGAACAACAUAUGUUGUUAUGCGGUUUGACCAAUAAAGAUCUUCGUAGAAUAUGUAGGAACCAAUAUGAGCAUCCAGGUUCCGCUAUUGGUUAUUGACCGGAGACGUGUCUCGGUCAUUUCUACAUAGUUCUCGAACCCGUAGGGUCCGCACGCUUAACGUUCGAUGACGAUUGGUAUUAUGAGUUUAUGUGUUUUGAUGUACCGAAGUUAGUUCGAAGUUUUGGAUGUGAUCACGGACAUGACGAGGAGUCUCAAAAUGGUCGAGACCUGAAGAUUGAUAUAUUGGACGACUAUGUUUGUACAUCGGAAUGGUUCCGAGUGAGUUCGGGCAUAUACCGGAGUACCGGGAGUACCGGAACCCCCCGGGGAGUAUAUGGGACCUAAUGGGCUUUAGUGGAGAGAGAGAGAGGGGCAGCCAAGGCAGGCCGUGCCCCCUCCCCUCUGGUCUGAAUUGGACUAGGAAGGGGGGACGGCACCCCCUUUCCUUCCUCCCUCUCUCCCCCUUCCUUCUCUCCUAGUCCAACUAGGGAAGGGGGGAAUCCUACUCCCGGUGGGAGUAGGACUCCUCCAGGGCACGCCAUAGAGGGUUGUCUCUCCCCCUCCUCCACUCCUUUAUAUACGGGGGAAGGGGGCAGCCCAGAGACACACAAGUUGACAUUGUUUAGCCGUGUGCGGUGCCCCCCUCCACAGUUACACACCUCGGUCAUAUCGUCGUAGUACUUAGGCGAAGCCCUCCGCCGGUAACUUCAUCAUCACACCGUCGUGCUGACGAAACUCUCCCUCGGUCUCAACUGGAUCAAGAGUACGAGGGAUGUCCCCAAGCUAAACGUGUGCUGAACGUGGAGGUGUCGUACGUUCGGUGCUUGGAUCGGUUGGAUCGCGAAGACGUUCGACUCAUCAACCGCGUUAACUAAACGCUUUCGCUUUCGGUAUACGAGGGUACGGACACACUCUCCCCUCUCGUUGCUAUGCAUCACCUAGAUAGUUCUUGUGUGAUCGUAGGAAUUUUUUUGAAAUUACCACGUUCCCGAACAGUGGCAUCCGAGACAGGUCUAUGCAUAGAUGUUAUAUGCACGAGUAGAACAAAAAGAGUUGUGGGCGAUAAUAGUCAUAUUGCUUACCAGCAUGUCAUACUUUGAUUCGAUGGUAUUGUUGGAUGAAGCGGCUCAGACCGACAUUAUGCAUAGCUUACGCGAGACGGGUCCUACGCUAAGGUCGGCCAAAAUAUGGACACCCGAAGGGCCCGGCGCGCACAAUCCUAUCCAAGAGAGAUCUACGGUCUAAUGAGGCUACUAUGAAAUAUUUACUCAUGGGUGGGGCAAGCUCUUCUAUUCUGGUUCAUGGUUUCUCUUGGCUAUAUGGUUCAUCUGGGGGGGAGAUCGAGCUUCAAGAAAUUGUGAACGGUCUUAUCAAUACACAAAUGUAUAACUCCCCAGGAAUUUCAAUUGCGCUUAUAUCCAUCACUGUAGGACUUGGGUUUAAUCGCCCCUUCUUCUUGCGCCAAAGAUCUUACCAUUUCCGAAGGAACUAGGGCUACAUUUCUUUUCAAUUUCCAUUCAAGAGUUUCUAUCUGUUUCCACGCCCUUCUCUUGAGACCUCGAAACAUGAGAACAAAUUACUUCUCUUAGGAACACAUACAAGAAAAAGGAUAACGGUAGCCCUCCCAUUAACUACUUCAUUUUCAUUUAUGAAUUUCAUAGUAAUAGAAAUCCAUGUCCUACCGAGACAGAAUUUAGAACUUGCUAUCCUCUUGCCUAAUAGGCAUGCUUUGCACAUAGGUGGCUAGUGAGUGUCUGUUUCUCCAACUUUAGUUGAAUCGAGUGUGGCUAGCCCGGUCCUUGUUGAAGGUUAAAACAACACACUUGACAAAAAAUCGUCGUGGUUUUAAUGCGUAGGUAAGAACGGUUCUUGCUAGAGGCCCGUAGGAGCCACGUAAAACUUGCAACAACAAAGUAGAGGACGUCUAACUUGUUUUUGCAGGGCUUGCUGUGAUGUGAUAUGGUCAAGACAUGAUGCUAAAUUUUAUUGUAUGAGAUGGUCAUGUUUUGUAACAAAGUUAUCGGCAACUGGCAGGAGCCAUAUGGUUGUCGCUUUAUUGUAUGCAAUGCAAUCACCAUGUAAUUGUUUUACUUUAUCACUAAGCGGUAGCGAUAGUCGUAGUAACAAUAGGUGGCGAGACGACAACGAUGCUAGGAUGGAGAUCAAGGUGUCACGCCGGUGACGUUGCAGAUCAUGACGAUGCUUCGGUGAUGGAGAUCAUGAUCACAAGAUGAUGAUGGCCAUAUCAUGUCACAUAUUUUGAUUGCAUGUGAGGUUUAUCCUUUAUGCAUCUUAUUUUGCUUAGUACGGCGGCAGCAUUAUAAGAUGAUCCCUUACUAAAUUUCAAGGUACAAGUGUUCUCCCUGAGUAUGCACCAUUGCUACAGUUCGUCGUGCCGAGACACCACGUGAUGAUCGGGUGUGAUAAGCUCUACGUUCACAUACAAUAGGCGCAAGCCAGUUUGGCACACGCGGAAUACUCGGGUUAAACUUGACGAGCCUAGCAUAUCCAGAUAUGGCCUUGGAACACUGAGACCGAAAGGUCGAGCGUGAAUCAUAUAGUAGAUAUGAUCAAAUAGUGAUGUUCACGAUUGAAAACUACUCCAUCUCACGUGAUGAUCGGACAUGGUUUAGUUGAUUUGGAUCACGUGAUCACUUAGAAGAUUAGAGGGAUGUCUAUCUAAGUGGGAGUUCUUAAGUAACAUGAUUAAUUGAACUUUAAUUUAUCAUGAACUUAGUCCUGAUAGUAUUUUGCAAAUUAUAUUGUAGAUCAAUAGCUCACGUUGUUGCUUCCCUAUGUUUUUAUAUGUGUUCCUAGACAAAACUAAGUUGAAAGAUAAUAUAGCAAUGAUGCGGACUGGGUCCAUGAUCUGAGGUGUAUCCUCAUUGCUGCACAGGAGAAUUAUGUCCUUGAUGCACCGCUAGGUGACAGACCUAUUGCAGGAACAGAUGCAGACGUUAUGAACGUUUGGCUAGCUCAAUAUGAUGACUACUUGAUAGUUUAGUGCACCAUGCUUAACGGCUUAGAAUCGGGACUUCAAAGACGUUUUGAACGUCAUGGACCAUAUGAGAUGUUCCAGGAGUUGAAGUUAAUAUUUCAAGCAAAUACCCGAGUUGAGAGAUAUGAAGUCCCCAACAAGUUCUAUAGCUAAAAGAUGGAGGAGAAUAGCUCAAGCAGUGAGCAUGUGCUCAGAUUGUCUGGGUACUACAAUCGCUUGAAUCAAGUGGGAGUUAAUCUUCCAGAUAAGAUAGUGAUUGAUAGAGUACUCUAGUCACCAUCACCAAGUUACUGGAACUUCAUGAUGAGCUAUAGUAUGCAAGGGGUGACGAAAACAAUUCCCGAGCUCUUUGUGAUGCUGAAAUCGACAAAGGUAGAAAUCAAGAAAGAGCAUCAAGUGUUGAUGAUUGACAAGAUCACUAGUUUCAAGAAAAGGGCAAAGGGAAAGAAAGGGAACUUCAAGUAUAAUGGCAAGAAAGUUGUCACUCCCGUGAAGAAGCCCAAAGCUAGACCAAAGCCUGAAACUGAGUGCUUCUACUGCAAAGGAAAUGGUCACUAGAAGCAGAAAUGCCCUGAAUAUUUGGUAGAUAAGAAGGAUGGCGAAGUAAACAAGGGUAUAUUUGAUAUAUAGGUUAUUGAUGUGUACCUUACUAGUGUUUAUAGUAGCCCCUGGGUAUUUGAUACUUGUUCGGUUGCUAAUAUUAGUAACUCGAAACAGGAGUUACAGAAUGAACAGAGACUAGUUGAGGGUGAAGUGACAAUGUGUGUUGGAAGUGGUUCCAAGAUUGAUAUGAUCAUCAUCGCACACUCCCUAUACUUUCGAGAUUAGUGUUGAACCUAAAUAAAUGUUAUUUGGUGUUUGCGUUGAGCAUAAAUAUGAUUAGAUCAUGUUUAUUGCGAUACAGUUAUUCAUCUAACACAAAGAAUAAAUUGUUAUUCUGUUUACAUGAAUAAAACCUUCUAUGGUCAUACACCCAAUGUUGAUUGUUUAUUGAAUCUUGAUCGUAGUGAUACACAUAUUCAUAAUAUUGAUGCCAAAAGAUGCAAAGUUGAUAAUGAUAGUGCAACAUAUUUGUGGCACUACCGUUUGGGUCAUAUCGGUGUAAAGCGCAUGAAGAAACUCCAUAAAGAUGGAUUUUUGGAAUCACUUGAUUAUGAAUCAUUUGAUGCUUGCGAACCGUGCCUUAUGGGCAAGAUGACUAAAACUCCGUUCUCCAGAACAAUGGAACGAGCUAGUGACUUAUUGGAAAUAAUACAUACCGAUGUAUGCGGUCCAAUGAGUGUUGAUGCUCGUGGCGGGUAUCGUUAUUUUCUGACCUUCAUAGAAGAUUUGAGCAGAUAUGGGUAUAUCUGCUUAAUGAAACACAAGUCUGAAACAUUUGAAAAGUUCAAGGAAUUUUAGAGUGAAGUGGAGAAUCAUCAUAACAAGAAAAAAAGUUUCUACGAUCUGAUUGUAGAGGAUAAUAUUUGAGUUACGAGUUUGGCCUUCAUUUAAAACAAUGUAGAAUAGUUUCACAGCUCACGCCACAAGGAACACCACAGCGUAAUGGUGUGUCUGAACGUUGUAACUGCACUUUAUUGGAUAUGGUGCGAUCUAUGAUGUCUCUUACCAGGUUACCACUAUCUUUUUGGGGUUAUGCAUUAGAGACAGCUACAUUCACGUUAAACAGGGCACCAUCAAAAUCCGUUGAGACGGCGUCUUAUGGAACUAUGGUUUGGCAAGAAACCAAAGUUGUCGUUUCUUAAAGUUUGGGACUGCGAUGCUUAUGUGAAAAAGCUUCAACCAGAUAAGCUCGAACCCAAAUCUUAGAACUGAGUCUUCAUAGGAUACCCAAAGGAAACUGUUGGGUACACCUUCUAUCACACAUCCGAAGGCAAGAUAUUCAUUGCUAAGAAUGGAUCCUUUCUAGAGAAGGAGUUUCUCUCGAAAGAAGUGAGUGGGAGGAAAGUAGAGCUUGAUGAGGUAAUUGUACCUUCUCCCGAAUUGGAAAGUAGUUCAUCACAGAUAUCAGUUCUAGUGAUUCCUACACCAAUUAGUGAGGAAGCUAAUGAUGAUGAUCAUGAAACUUCCGAUCAAGUUACUACAGAACCUCAUAGGUUUUCCAGAGUACGGUCCGCACCAGAGUGGUACGGUAAUCCUAUUCUGAAAGUCGUGUUACUAGACCAUGAUGAACCUACGAACUAUGAGGAAGCGAUGAUGAGCCCAGAUUCUGCGAAAUGGCUUGAGGCCAUGAAAUCUGAGAUGGGAUCCAUGUAUGAGAACAAAGUGUGGACUUUGGUGGACUUGCCCGAUGGUCGGCAAGUCUUAUUAAAUAUAUGGAUCUUCAAGAGGAAGACAGACGCUAAUAGUAGUGUUACUAUCUACAAAGCUCGACUUGUCACAAAAGGUUUUUGACAACUUCAAGGUGUUGACUACAAUGAGAUUUUCUCAACUGUAGCGAUGCUUAAAUCCGUCUGAAUCAUGUUAGCAGUUGCCAUAUUUUAUGAAAUCUGGCAAAUGGAUGUCCUACAUUCCUUAAAAUGGAUAAUUCUAAAAGAAGAGUUGUAUAUGAUGCAACCAAAAGGUUUUGUCAAUCCUAAAGGUACUAACAAGGUGAGCAAGCUCCAGUGAUCCAUCUAUGGACUGGUCCAAGCAUCUCGGAGUUGGAAUGUACGCCUUGAUGAGUUGAUCAAAGCAUAUAGUUUUAUACAGACUUGCAGUGAAGCUUGUAUUUAGAAGAAAGUGAGUGGGAGCUCUGUAGUAUUUCUAAUAUUAUAUGUGGAUGACAUAUUGUUGAUUGGAAAUAAUAUAGAAUUUCUGGAUAGCAUAAAGGGAUGCUUGAAUAAGAGUUUUUCAAUGAAAGACCUCGGUGAAGCUGCUUACAUAUUGGGCAUCAAGAUCUAUAGAGAUAGAUCAAGGCAAUCAGACUAUGCGGCUUUAUCACUUUCACUUAGCCAUGAGAGUCCAUAGGUGGAGCUAGGUACUAGCCCCUUGUUGCGUAAACGAUGAUCCGGAGUACGACGCCUUUGCAACGCGGCUGGUCGAAGCCCAGCCCCUCGCAUAACACAGCAUAAAUCUCGAACGGUUUGUAGUAUAACACUAAGUCACCGGAUCACUGACCCGCUCUCGCAUAUCAUGACAGUCAGUUUUUUGCUUUCUCUACUGAGGUACUUAACCGGACGAACCAGAAAUACAAUCGCAGUAGUUCUCCCUUAACUACCUUAGCCGAACUUGCAGAACGUAAGGUGGCAAAUACAGGAGCCGGGCAACCCAACUAUAGUCCAAAGACAUGAUUCGGAGCCGAUGCAUAUAAUGCAAUGUCCGGGAUGCCGAAGAGUUCCCUAUAGGUGUUCGGACUUAAGAGUUUGCGGGGCCGAAUACAACCCCUGGUAUGAAGGCCGUGCCGAAACACGUAUGUCAGUCGAAAGCAAGGAGGGAAUACGGAUGAUAAGAUAAUAUAAGAGCCCAAUCAAAAAACAUGGUGAUCGUCUGCUUCAUUUAUAUCCUUAUUAAUACGCUGAGGCAUGUUUCGACAGACAAUGCCAUGAAUAUCAAGGUCAUGUUACAUGCCUAAAGAAAAAAAUACAUAAGGGAAAGUCUAACACAGGGCCUAAAAAUAAUAGUUCAAAAACUCCAGUGAUGCCCUACCGCGCAUCUGCGCCGUUUCUCCUUAGUAAUAAGUCCUUUGAUAGGAGUAUUUGAUGGUUGGGAAACGCUAGCCUUGAAAGGAUCCCUGAUACAACCAUACAGCAAAUAGGGCUCUUAAUGAACUUGUCGUGAAAAAAGAUGUAUGCAGUCCAAAUAGGGUCCAGCCGUACUAUGGACUUGUUCCGCAGUGUGCCCCGGGCGCUGCCCAAGGUAUUUUGAGUGCGUAGUUAUGUACGUGUGGUACAUAAAGCCGCAACCUUAUGGGGCAGUCGAUAGAGGCCGAACUGCUAAUCGAGGUUCGGAUUCGUCAAGUUAUCGCAGCGAGGCGCGAACGAAACUCGUUUAGAGAUGUUGUUGGCUUUAAUGUACGAUGAAUUGUUCGACUUGAUAAGGCCGCCAUACACCUCGGCUGCAAGAGCCGCGGUGUGUUCUUCAGUACGGAGGGAGCGCUCCAUAUUUCCAUUGACUGUAAUAACGCCGCGAGGUCCAGGCAUCUUAAGCUUCAAAUAAGCAUAGUGCGGGACUGCAUUAAAGCAGGCGAAAGCAGUUCGUCCGAGCAGUGCAUGAUAGCCACUGCGGAAAGGGACGAUGUCGAAGAUUAAUUCUUCACUGCGAAAGUUGUCUGGGGAGCCGAAUACUACUGAAGGAAAUAUGCCCUAGAGGCAAUAAUAAAGUUAUUAUUUAUUUCCUUAAUUCAUGAUAAAUGUUUAUUAUUCAUGCUAAAAUUGUAUUAACCGGGAACUUAGUACAUGUGUGAAUACAUAGACUAAACAUAUAGUCCCUAGUAUGCCUCUACUUGACUAGCUCGUUUAUCAAAGAUGGUUAUGUUUCCUAACCAUAGACAUGUGUUGCCAUUUGAUGAACGGGAUCACAUCAUUAGGAGAAUGAUGUGAUGGACAUGACCCAUCCGUUAGCUUAGCAUUAUGAUCGUGUUAGUUUCAUUGCUACUGCUUUCUUCAUGACUUAUAGAAGUUCCUCAGACAAUGAGAUUAUGCAACUCCUGAAUACCGGAGGAACACUUUGUGUGCUACCAAACGUCACAACAUAAAAGGGUGAUUAUAAAGGUGCUCUACAGGUGUCUCCGAAGGUGUUUGUUGGGUUGGCAUAGAUCGAGAUUAGGAUUUGUCACUCCGUGUUUCAGAGAGGUAUCUCUGGGCCCUCUCGCUAAUACUCAUCACUAUAAGCCUUGCAAGCAUUGUGACUAAUGAUUUAAUUGUGGGAUGAAGUAUUAUGGAACGAGUAAAGAGACUUGCCGGUAACGAGAUUGAACUAGGUAUUGAGAUACCGAUGAUCGAAUCUCGGGCAAGUAACAUACCGAUGACAAAGGGAACAACAUAUGUUGUUAUGCGGUUUGACCGAUAAAGAUCUUCGUAGAAUAUGUAGGAACCAAUAUGAGCAUCUAGGUUCCGCUAUUGGUUAUUGACCGGAGACGUGUCUCGGUCAUGUCUACAUAGUUCUCGAACCCGUAGGGUCCGCACGCUUAAUGUUCGAUGACGAUUGGUAUUAUGUGUUUAUGUGUUUUGAUGUACCGAAGGUAGUUCAGAGUUCCGGAUGUGAUCACGGACAUGCGAGGAGUCUCAAAAUGGUCGAGACUAGAAGAUUGAAUUAUUGGACGACUAUGUUUGGACAUCGGAAUGGUUUCAGGUGAGUUCGGGCAUAUACCGGAGUACCGGGAGGUAUAUGGGCCCUAAUGGGCUUUAGUGGGGAGAGAGAGGGGCAGCCAAGGCAGGUCGCGUGCCCCCUCCCCCUCUGGUCCAAAUUGGACUAGGAGGGGGGCGGAGCCCCCCUUUCUUCCUCCCUCUCUCGCCCUUCCUUCUCUCCUAGUCCAACUAGGAAAGGGGGGAAUUCUAAUUCCGGUGGGAGUAGGACUCCUCCAGGGCGCGCCAUAGAGGGUCGGCCCUCCCCCUCCUCCACUCCUUUAUAUACGGGGGAAGGGGGCACCCCAGAGACACACAAGUUGACAUUGUUUAGCCGUGUGCGGUGCCCCCCUCCACAGUUACACACCUCGGUCAUAUUGUCGUAGUGCUUAGGCGAAGCCCUGCAUCAGUAACUUCAUCAUCACCGUCAUCACGUCAUCGUGCUGGCGAAACUCUCCCUCGACCUCAACUGGAUCAAGAGUACGAGGGACGUCCCGGAGCUGAAUGUGUGCUGAACGCGGAGGUGCCGUACGUUCGAUGCUUGGAUUGGUUGGAUCGCAAAGACGUUCGACUACAUCAACAACGUUAACUAAAUGCUUCCGCUUUCGGUCUACAAGGGUACGUGAACACACUCUCCCCUCUCGUUGCUAUGCAUCACCUAGAUAGAUCUUGCGUGAUCAUAGGAAAUUUUUUGAAAUUAUGGCGUUCCCUAACAACUACCCCCAGUGUCAGUGAGCCCGUGCAACGAGCCUCCACGCCGGGUAUCACACCUUUAAAGGUAGUGUUACUAGGCUUUAUUCUUGAUGGGUUAAUGCCCAUCUUGCGGACAGUGUCUUGAUAAAUCAAAUUCAGACUGCUGCCCCAUCCAUAAGGAUUCUUGUGAGAUGGUAUCCAUUGAUAAUUGGAUCGAGUAACAAGGCGUCUGAACCCCCGUGAAGGAUACUGGUUGGGUGGUCCCUAUGAUCAAAAGUGAUCGGACAGGCUGACCAUGGGAUGAAUUUAGGGGCGACGGGCUCUAUGGCGUAGACGUCCCUUAGUGCGCGCUUGCGCUCCCUUUUGGGAAUGUGAGUGACAUAGAUCAUGUUCACUAUUUUCACCUCGGGGGGAAACUGCUUUUGGCCCCUGGUAUUCGGCUGACGGGGCUCAUCAUCGUCCUCACUUGGAGGUCCCUUUCCCUUGUGUUCAGUAUUUAACUUACCGGCCUGUUUGAUACCCAACAGUUCCUGAUGAUGUGGUUAGCGGGCUUAUCGGGUGUGCCAUGAAUCUGGCAGGGCCUCUCAAGGAUUUUAUCCAAGCUAUAUGGACCGUCCCUGUUUCGUUUGAAAGGUUUCUUCCGCUGACCGGAUUUAGAACCACUGAAUCCGGCAUUGACGGCCGUAUCAUCUGCAUCGUCAUUGUUGAUGCGACAUUUGUUUUUAUUGCGACGUGGUUUACCAUUGCCAUCCCUGGCCUCAGAGGUGCCAAGGUCGCCCAAGUUGUUGCUUCUACGAGCCAACCAGCUAUCUUCACCCGCACAGAAACGGGUCAUGAGUGCAGUUAAGGUUGCCGUGGUUUUCGGCUUCUCCUGCCCGAGGUGUCGGGCGAGCCAUUUGUCCCGGGCACUGUGUUUGAAGGCUGCUAAGGCUUCGGCGUCCGGACAGUCCAUGAUUUGGUUCUUUUUAAUUAAGAACCGAUUCCAAAGCUUGUGAGCUGAUUCUCCUAGUUGCUGGAUUAUGUGACUCAAGUCGUCCGCAUCCGGAGGCCGGACAUAAGUGCCCUGGAAGUUGGCCCGAAAAGCAUCUUCCAAAUUUUCCCAGGUUCCAAUGGAGUUUUCUAGGAGGCUGUUCAGCCAGUGCCGUGCUGGUCCUUUCAGCUUUAGAGGAAGGUUUUUAAUAGCAUGGAGGUCAUCUCCACGAGCCAUGUGAAUGUGGAGAAGAAAAUCUUCAAUCCAGACGGUCGGAUCCGUCGUUCCAUCAUACUGUUCGAUGUUCACGAGUUUAAACCCUUCCAGAAACUGGUGUUGCAUUACCUCAUCGGUAAAGCACAUGGGGUGUGCGGCACCCCUGUAUCGUGCGACAUCACGGCGGAGAUCGGAUGACAUCUGAGUUUGGUUCUGAUCCCGAGUAAUAUUCAUCACGCCGGACUUCAUAGCCAUUAUCUCAUGCCAGGGAAUGGCCUCUUGAUCCAUAGUGGUUUGACCGACUUUAUAGGCCAGGUCCUAUUGCAAGUCGUAUGUGUAACCCGCAGUUGUUGUCUCCUUGCCUCUUCGGCGAGGGGAUGCGGGCUGGUGUUCGGCUUGAUAUGCUGCUUUAUCUCGUCCACGUGGUGGUCGGUCUGGUUGAUCUGCCUAAUUGUAUUUCGACGGUAUUGGCUCAAGGGCUUCGUCAUCGAAUUGUGGUAGUAGCUUGCGCUUGGGAUAACUUUUUGUAGGUCGCUCGUGGUCGUACUCCUCGACGGCCAGGACCUUGGUCCACCUUUCAUUGAGCUUAUCCUGUUCAGCUUUGAGCUGGUGCUAUUUUCUUUUCAGGCUCCGCGCUAUGGCGAUGAGCUAUCGCUUGAAGCAUUCUCGCUCGAGCGGUUCCUCUGGGACGAUAAAGUCUUCGUCAUCGAGGCUAACGUCCUCUUCGGAGACUGGCAUAUAGUUGUUGUCUUCCGAAUCUUCGUGAUCAGCGUGUUUGGGGCUAUACUGACCAUCUUCCCUCUCAUCCUGUUUGGAUGUGGGCUCGACUAGGUGUUCGGGAUCUUCGGCAUCAUCCAGAGCCUCAUUGUCUCUGGUGCCGGUAUUACUAUCCUUCGCCUGACGCGAUCGUGAGCGGCGCCGCUGAUGUCGGCGCUUUGGUGGUUUAUCGACGGGCUUGUCCUCAUCGGGGUUCUGAUUAUCCUCGUCAUCCUUUUUAUCAGGAGUGUCCACCAUGUAUACGUCAUAGGUUGAAGUGGCCGUCCAACACCCUAUGAUGGGUGGGACUUGGCUUGAUUCAGCGUCGGCAUCGUCGUCCAAACCGUCGAUUUCUUCGGACGCGUAGUCUAGCAUGUCGGUUAAAUCCUCGACAAUGGCUAUUAAGUGGGUGGUGGGCGGGUCAUAAAAUUCCCCGCUCUCUGCCUCCAACCCGUACGGGCUGCAGUUCGGAGGCAAGCUUUACGUAAUGGUGAGGGAUCGCAUUAAACCCAGCGCUUCGUCCAAGGGUGAAAGCUGGGUGCGAGUCCGCGGAUCUAUAGGGCUGAGUUCGGUGACAAGCACCUGAUUAGGCCCGAUCGACGCAGACUUUGAUAGUUCGGAGCUAACGUCCAGAGGCGAGUCCAAAACCACAGCUAGGUCUCCGGUCGGGAGUUCCAUGGUAGAAGAGAGUCCGGCGGGGGUGAUCCCCCAUCCUCGGACGUAACUACCCGCUCCGGAUCUACGGCCGAGGCGGGUGUGAGUGUCGACCCCUCGACGGGAUCUAAGAGCGGAUCCGAAGAGCUUCCUUCAUAGGGGCGAGGGGCGGCAACUAGAGCCGCGAACCCCUCAAAGACCAGAUCUCCUCGGAUAUCGGCGAUGUAAUUCAGGUUUCCAAACCUGAUCUAGUGGCCGGGGGUGUAACUGUCUACCUGCUCGAGGCGGCCGAUCGAGUUGGCAUGAAGCACGAAGCCACCGAACACAAAGACCUGUCCAGGAAGAAAGGUUUCCCUAGACAUAGCAUCAUUGUUGAUGAAGAGGCGCGCCAUCAAUCCUUCCGUCGAUGAUACAUCGGAGCUCUCAAUGAAAGCACCAACAUCGGUGUCAAAACCGGCAGAUCUCGGGUAGGGGGGGCCAAGCUAUAUGUCUGAGGAUCGAUGGUAACUAGAUCAAAAGGACACAGUGUUUACCCAGGUUCGGGCCCUCUUAAUGGAGGUAAAACCCUACUCAUGCUUGAUUAUAUUCGAUGAGUAUAGGGGUUACAAGAGUUGAUCUACCUCGAGAUCGUAAUGGCUAAACCCUAGCUUGACUAGCCUAUCAAUGUCGUGAUCCUGCCUUUGAUCUCACCCCCCGAUUUAUAUAGGUACCGGAGGGGCUUUAGGGUUGUACAAAGUCGGUUUAACAGAAAGGAAACAGUACAUCCGAACACCUGAACUUGCUAUCCACGCAUACGGGAGUCCCUAGCGGACACGAGAAGUGGUCUUCUACCUUGUAUCUUGACGGCCCAUCAGUCUCGCCCAUAUCCAAUAGACCGGACGCCCGAGGACCCCCUAGUCCAGGACUCCCUCAACGAGGUUGAUGGCAGAGGCGAUGCUUUGGUGGGUUGGCAUGCUUGGAAAAGGUGGAUGUGCUACAGGCUGCGCUUCUUGCCUCUGUGCGUCGCGUGCCGCCUAGGUUUAUGCACAAUAUCGCUGGGUGGCGGGAAAUGGUGGCGUGUUCAUAAAACGCCAUCAAUUAAUGGAAACUUAGCAUACAAGGAACAUUGAGCUAGCACAAGAAGUAGAUGAUGAUCAGAUGAACACGGACCACACUAGGGAACCCGUCGGUGAUGAAUUCAUCAAUCACAAACGGUUGUAUACUAGCAAGCGUUUGCCCACAACACACACGGCUUAUUCCAUCACAAACAGGUCGGAUGGAUCAAUUGUAUGUCACGUAUCGCACAUUGUCAAAAAAUAAUGUGGUAGACCUUCUUUAACAUGUGUUAAAAAAACAAGGACCUCGAGGUUAAUUUAACUGAUGGGAUGGAUCAUAGAGGUCAUUUAAUUUGACCUCUAUGACCCAUCCCAUCAGUUAAUUUAACAUCAAGAUAACUUCGCAUCCAGUCACCCAUCUGAUGGCUGCUCCAUCCUGAGCACACUUAACUUGAGAGUUCUCUUAGAUGAGCUAUUGGUGGAACAACUAGUCCUUACUGAUAUAGGAUGCCCCUUCGCAUACUUAUGGCAUACCCGGAUGAUCGCCCAUCCCCCAAUGACCAAUAGAUGUUGUGUAGAUAGAGCAUAUCACAUACGUCUUAUUAGAAGCAAUCGUCUGUGUUACUAUCGGUCUUCGCACACAUUUCUGAUUACAUACCUGUUUGCCGCGUAUCACACACAUCUUUUUAUAUUGAACCAUUUUUGUUCUCUUGUCUCAACGCAAACAAUUCAUCCGAGUGAACCGCAUGUCGUAUAUCGCACACACCUUGAUUUGGCUGGCCAUUUCUUUUGUGUUGCCUAAUCAUAAACAGUUCAUCCGAGUGAACCUUAUGUUGUAUAUCACACACACCUUCAUCUGGCUGCCCGUUUCUUUUGUUCCUCCUCAUCGCAAACAGUUAAUUGAACUGAACCGUAUGCCCUGCAUCGCACACGCAACUAAAAUUUGAACCAUGUUUGAUGCAUCCGUCAUCGCAAACAUUUUGCAUCUUUUUUGACAGUUUUUUACACCACCUUUUGUGAUUAUUGCAUCGCACAUAGUUUCGUCGAAGGGUCUCUGAUCGUAGUGCCGCGUUAGCAGCAUCCUGCAGUAGUGACAUGAUUCUUGAACCCGUAGGGUCCGCACGCUUAAUGUUCGGUGAAGCUAGAGUAAUAUUGGGAUAUGCAUGUUGGUGAUCAAAUGUUGUUUGGAGUCCCGGAUGAUAUCCCGGAUGUCACGAGGAGCUCUGAAAUGGUCCGGAGGUAAAGAUUUAUAUAUGGAAAGUUGCUUUCAGGGUUUUGAAAAAAGUUUCAGUUUUUUGGGUAUUAUACCGGGAAGCUUCCAAAAUGUUCCAGAAAAUUCCGGAGGAGUCCGGAAGUUCACCAAGGGUUCCACCACAUCCCAAGGGCCAGCAUGGGCUGAGGGGAGGCACCCUGGCCUUAUUGGGCCAGGCGCACAAGUCCCUCAAGGCCCAUGUGGCUUGGGAGAGGUGGAAAGUCCACCUUUAUAUGGAAAAGGAGGGAAUUGGACUAGGAGUCCAACUCCUCCCACCUUGGUGCGCCCCUAGGGCUUGGAGGACUGGCCACGACGCCCCUCCACCUAUAUAUAGAGGGUAGGGGUGCCCCCAAGAGGACACACAAGCCCUUGGCCCCCCUCUCUCUCUCUCGUUACUUCGUAACUCCUCCAUCUUUGUUGUUUCGGUAGCGCUCGGCGUAGCCCUGCCAGAAUCACUCCACCACCAUCACCUUCACACCAUCGUGCUGCUGGCAAUCAUAUCCAAUUCUCCUUCCUUGCUUGCUGGAUCAAGGAGGAGGAGACGUCAUCGAGACAUACGUGUGCUGAACGCGGAGGUGCCAUCCGUUCAGUACUUCAUCGGUUUGGAUCGCAAUUGGAUCAUAACGAGUAUGACUACAUCAACCGCGUGAUAUGCGCUUCCACUUAACGGUCUAAGAGGGUACGUAGAUACACUCUCCCCUCUUGUUGUUAUGCUUCUCCUAGAUAGAUCUUGGGUGUUCGGAGGAUUUUUUUUCAUGCUUUGUUCCCCAACAACUUUACCUUCCACAUUGAGGUCAAGUUGCCUACUAGUUGGCAUAGGAGUCUUAUAUGACUUGACAUUGACCAUUUAAAAAAUAAUUGAGAAUAUCCUUUGUAUACUUGGUUUGAGAGAUGCCAUUUCUGCUCUCCCAUCAUUGACAUCUCAAACUUCCUAGUCAUACCCUUGGAGAUUUCUUUGCACAAAGUUUUGUUAGGGAACCGAAGAUAAUUUCAUCCACAUAGAUUUUCAUAUAAUCAAAUCACUUGUGGUUCUCUUAGUACGAAGAGUGGUGUUGAUUUACCGUAUCUCCAAUCCUUCCAGUACUAGAGACUCCCUAAGGUGAUAAUACCAAGCACAUGGGGCUUGCUUGAGCCCAUAUAAUGCCUUAUGAAGUUUAUAGAUAUGGUCCUUGUGAUGGGGACCAAUGAAGCCGAGUGGUUGUGCAUGUAAGAAAUAUACGCACACGGUCUAACCCCUAUUCCUCGAUCCUUUUCCGUGGUUCCGCUCACAAUUGAUCAAUUGAGGCUAGGGGUUAGAGACCUUUAUAUAGUGCUAUUUCAGUUAAUUUCAAACUGUAUAAACUGCAGAUAAGUGUCCAGAUAAAAUUUGUUUAAACGAAGACUCCAGGUUAACUUAACCAACCACGAUCAUUAGUAACCAUCAAAGAGUUUCAUCUGCAAACUGUCCCACAAGCACGUACGUGUGAGUCGCACGCUGAAUUUGAAUUACAAUUCAAAUUCACAGGCUUUACCAAUUCAUGGAGCCAAUCCCACGAACAACCUGGCUUUUCAUAAUAUGUUGUGCCCGGGCAAAUAUACAUUUAGUACAAUAAAUAUUCCAGCAUUAAUAAAUACUGUUUCCAGCAUAUAUGUACCGUCUUCCAUGAACUAUAUUCCAUUCAUGUAUUCCAAGCAAUAUUUAAGUGCAUCGGUAAAUUCCAUAUCAAGGUAAACAUAUUCCAGGAACUAUGUAGUAUAUAUGUAAAAUGUUGCAAGCCAUACAUAAGUAUUUCCUACAGUGCAACGUAUGCCAACUCAUUCAUGGAAUCAUUAAGAGAUGCACACUUAACAUGCAUUUGAUAUAACUUGAAAUUGUUCAAAGAUACCUAGAGACCUUCGAGACAUACAAGGUUGACAAAUAGGAUAAGGCUAGAUGCACCAUUUAUAGGACCUUAUCAUUACCUCAGCGGUGAGGUAUUUUCAGGGGUGAAAAAAUGAACUGGAAUUUUUUGUAUUUCUUUCCUGGAUUUGAAACUACUCAUGGAAGCCUCAUAAAAGUUGAAAAAAUGUUUGAAUUUUUUAACCUCAAACACUGAAACCAUCUGUUUCUAGUCUUUUUUAAGGGAAAUCUGUUUCUAGUAAAGACAGGAAAAUAUAGAAAAGUCGAACCAUCAUGGGCCAAAGCCCAUCUAUUCUCCCCUAUUUCCUUUUUAGGUCACUCUCCACCUUUUGCUUUUUUUGAGGCAACCACUUUCCUUCUCUUCAUGUACCCUCCACCAGCAAAUGGGCCAAACGCCAUCUUUCCUUUUCAUCAUUCCUUUUUCUUUUAUUUUCACUGAAUGUGCCAUAGCCUAACAAACAAAACAAGGCUAGUCUGAAACCUCCUCUUCUCUUUUCUUAGCAAAACUUGCCUAUCAUGAGACCUAUCGUCGCCUCGCCGUAGGCGCUGGGGUGCCCUUGCCUUAGUGGGUUGGCCCAUCUAAAUGGUUUUGGAAGGUACUUUAAAUCGAUUUGGACCGGGUUUAGAACAUCGCAUGCAUACUUUGUAAACUUAGAAGAUGAGAACAAAUCACAAAAAUUAAAUUAAAUCUUUAUGUACUGACUCCUAAGCAAAUUAUUUGGAAUUGUGAAGUGCAAUAAAUCAUUUUAUCCACUAAUAGUGGCCAAAUUAGUUUUUUACGUGUUCCUCUUAUCAUUUUUAAAAUACGCCAAAAUUUUCCUAUACAGGUUAUACAAUUUCUUAUACAAGUAUAACAUUUUUUAUGCAUGUUGAACAUUUCUCAAAUAUAUAUGAUGAGCAUUUUUUUCAAAGCAUGUUUGAACAUUUUUUCAAAUAAAUGUUACACAUUUUUAAAUUCACAUUGAACAUUUUUUGAAUGGAAUGAAACAAUUUUUAAAACUACGUGAGCGUUUUUCUAAAUUUUACAAAUUUUUAUGAAAUAUCAUGAACAUAUUCUUGAAACAUGUGAACAUUUUUUAAAAAUGUCACAGACAGUUUUUGAAUGGUAUGAAUGUUUUUAGAAAAUAAUCUAACAUUAUUAUACGUUGUAUAAAUAGUUCUAAAAUGUCACAAACAUUUCUUUAAAUGCGUGAAUUAUUUUCUGAAUGGCACAAAGCAUCUUUUCCAAAUUACACAAUAUUUUUUUUGCAUUGUGUUUUUUUUUUGAAAAUGUCACGACAUUUGUUCUGAAACACGUGAACAUUUUGAAAUGUCACAAACAUUUUUCAAUGAUAUCUAAAUUUUAAAAAAAUUGUGCACACAAUAUUUUUGCACUGCAUGAACUUUUUUAAAUGUGCGAUGAAUACUUUUAGAAAUCUAAGUAAUGUAAUUUGAAAUAUGUAUAUUUGUUUUUUCUAAGAGUACAAACAAAUGUUAAAAAAUAUGGAAAACUAAAAAGAACAAAAUGAACAAACUAACUAACGGGCCGGCCACUGCAGUGGCGCACAGAGGCGAGAUGUAUGCUCCUCUUGCUCCGGGCGAGACAUAUCCCCUCCCUUCAAAAAAUUCUAGUCUUACAAAAUUACAGGUAACUAGAUGAAACCCACACGUUGUUGCGGGGAUCGGUUGCAAUAUACGUAUUUCAAUGAGAUUUUAUUAUGUGGAAUAUAAAUAUUUAGAUUACCAACGCAUGAGCCAAAAUUAAAAAUACACACAGAUUAUUAUAUUUGAUUAUGUAUAGUUGUAACAUUUAUUGAAUAUAAGUAGAAUAAUAUAAUGAUUUUCCCCCAUGAAUGGGUGCAUGUUGAGGUGGGUCUUAUCCUAUCCAUAAUGUAUGGUGAUCUGGCAUGUUUGCAUGUUCAGAUAAAUAAAUUAGCGGGAUGACUCUCUAACGUAUAUAGGAUUACUCUUACUAUAUUUUUAUUUCAUGAAAAUGCUUAGAAUAUUGCCAUCUACCUUUUUAUUUCAUUUGGAUGCAUGUUGUAAGUAAGAUUUAAUCUAUUUAUUUAAAAAACAAGUGUAAUUAAUUAUUAACUCUCGUUUGUGUAUAUUCGAUUUUCUAUAUCUUGAGCAUUUUAAAUCCAAGUAAUCUAUUCCACUUAUAUCGGUCUUAGUUUUAGUGUAUGAUAUGAAUUUCAUAUCAUGAUCAUGCUGAUACCUUGGUCAUAUAGCUAGUUUUGAAUGUCUUAUUCGCAAAAGAAAAUAGUUGUAAAUGUCUUGGUGCAAACUGUGAGAACCCACAUGAAGUUAGUGAUUUUGUUUUUUGAAGUAGGAAAAUCAAUAAACUGUUAAAACAGAUACGAGGCCAUAAAACAUAAGCUCACCCAUAGGUUCUAAGGAAUGCCUGCACCAUGCUGAUAUUUCAAAUAAUUUUAGCAGAAUUUGAUCUGGACCAAAUUUAGUCAAUUAUAGAUAAUUCGAUAUAUUUCUAUUUUAUUAAAUUCUAUUUAGAAUCUUGAAUCUAUUCAAAAAUAUAUUAUGUGCUCAUUAAUAAGGCGAUCAUUCUUUUUAUGUUGGUCAUAUCUUCAUUUAAGAUUGUCUAUAGGGUGCUCCUUCAAUACUAUUGUUCCCACCCUCGAUUGUUAACUUGCAAGCUUAUUGAGUAGUUUUAACUUCUAGAAUUCAGAUCAUUUCCUCCAUGGUAAUAUGAUUAUCUUUCACGUUGGUGGUUUUCAUGUUUUAAGAUAAUUAUUCACCGAAGUAAGCAAAGUUAGAAGUUCUUGCUUAACCUAACAAUGAGAUACAAGACAUGCAACCAUAGUGUCGCGAAUGAUGAUACACAGUGUGAGAUACCAUACCUGAAAGGUGUGGACAUACGAAGCCGACCAAAGAGAUUGCCAAUGGAACCCUUGGCCCACACUGACUGGUGCCAAUGUAGUUACUUGGAGGCGUUAAGGAGCGAUGUGUCGUUUUCGGGACCUUGCCGUCAUCAAAUAGAUAUCCCGGAUAUAGGCAGGGUAUCAAAUCACAUCGUAUCGUACCGAAGGCUGGAAGGACAUGACGGGAGGAAGAUAGAGCUCGCCAAUAAUGUUUGGCAGAGGGAAGUGGCUCAAGAGAGUAAAAACAUGAUCGUGAUGGGGCUAGCAUGAUUUACGACGUCUUCGAUCGUUAACGUCGCCUCUCAAUCAAGCUGGCAUGUCAUUUUUGUCAGAUUUACCCUUCGAUAAAUCGCAUGCAAAACUCAUCAAGAUUAUUAUAUAGCAGAGAGAGAGAGGGGGGGGGGGGACAAAUCGUGAUUAUUUUUUAGGGAAGUUUCGAAGCCAACAAGGUGUUCGCUGUUGCACCCGUCCCAUACAAUCAAGGAUGUGGCUAGCAGCACUAGCAUGCCGACUAAUACCGAAGCCUCUAUUCCAGGCAAGGUUUUUGCCCCAACAUUCAUCCACUUGGAUGAAAGUGACCCAUGGUGAAUUUUGGUCUUGGCACGUGGUAUUAUUUUGGUAAAUGGUUGUGUACAAACGCUUUGUGGAUUCAGUGUUCAGUUUCAAUUUUUUUGAACUUGUGUGCUGAAUUCUUGGGUGCGAUUGGGUGCGGUUAGCGAUUUUGCCACUCUAUGGUGAAAAAUGGUGCCGCUUCCAUCACCUGAUCUGGAGGGUUCUUGUGUUUUUUGAUCGGUGCCGCUUUCAUGUUUCGAUCUAGAGUCUGCCUUUUGUUUCUGGUUUGCACCGCUGUAGUCGUUUGAUCUCGAAACCUCGCCACAUACCACCAUCGCUUACGUCCUGGGGGUUAUAAAUAGAUCGUCCUUCUUCUCGUAUCAUUGUGCUAGGUUUUCUUUGGGUUAGCAUAUACUGUUUCUAUGGUAUAUCCUUCUUCCUGUCGUAAUGGACCGCGGCGUCCUGCUCGGCCUCCUCCGUCGUGGGGAGCUCUGGUUGGCCGGUGUGGUGGUUCGGGUUGUCUUGUUGCGUCGGCUGUUGUCUCGGCUCGACCCGUAUGUAUGGAGCAUGCUUUGUACUCUGAUGACCGGUCGUUGCCGCCGCCGCGCCCUGGCUGUCGGCAACUCACUGCUGCUGCCCCCGGGCCUCCUAAUCUCCCUUGACCUUCUUUGCGGUGCUGGCGGGCCUGAUGAGGAUCAGCCACAACUUUGGCUACGGCAUCGCCCUGAGUCCGUCCAACCGGCCGUCCGCGGCCGACGGUGACUACGUCGAAGAUGUUGUCAAUUGGUUACGGGCUGUGCGGAAACCGGGUGUCCCGGCGGCCGGCGCUUGCGUAUCCCCUUGGCGGGCGCAUGGUCUCCGCUCGGACGUAGUAGGACGCCCUGUUCGGGGAGCAUAGAUCCUGCGGCAACAACCUCUACGACAACGACGACGGCAUCACCACCGCCGGAUAACGAUCACUUGCCAGUGCGAGCGGUGUGACAGUGGCGAGAGCGGAUGCUCCUAGUGCAGCAGACAGCAGGUUGCUCUGUGGCGCUGACAAGGGGUUAGGUUGCAGCGUCGGGGCGGAGGGGAGGCGGUGCAGCAGACAGUAGGAUGGUCUCGAAGGCGGCCACACUGCGCAGGAGCGACUGGAGCCGGAGUGGUCCGUUGUUAGCCAAGAUCGGCUGUUGCUGAUGAUGUUGUGGGCAUGUGGAUGAGUAUGUGGAUCUCAACGUGAAACGUCCAUCAGCAAGGCACGGCCUGGCGUUGCGCACUGCACUGCUAUGUGAUGCUGUUGAACAUGAAGUGCACUCAAACCGCGAUGCAUGCCGUCCGCGUUGUAUCCCCUUGCAUGGUCCGACGAGGUUUCGCGUACGUCCAGGUUCGUGUGAUCAUCUCUCUCUCUCUCUCUCUCAUAUUUUUUGUGCAGCUCAACAGCGAGGGAGAUUUGCAAGUGGUAAAAAUUCUGGUGCUAUCAUUGCUAUGUAAUAAGACAAGGUUUCUCCUGAUCCUCUUUCUUCUUGAUAAUCCAUAUAGGGAUUGCUUCUGUCGAUUAUUUUGAAGCCUUUUCUUGUAGACUAAAGGUUCAGAGAUGGCCACUAACUGAUUGGUGUUAUUUAGCUUCAGGUUCAUUUUUGUGCUCUUAAGGUAUAGUAUCCCUUCCAUCAUUGCCGCAAACAUUUACUAUCUGUCCUUGGUGCAGGAAUUUGCAACCGUUAAACCCACGGCGGUUCCGGUGUGGGAUAUAUUCUUCAUGGUCCCGUGUCAUUUGCUUCAUCUGCUGUUAAUUUGAUGAUAUGGUUUUUGGGAUGACCAUGAUUUACUCCCUUCUAAUAUUUGUUCUAUGCAAGCAUCAAGACUAAAUAAUAUGGGUUUACCCCCUUAUCAUAUUUGUUGUAUGUAGGCAUCAAUACUAGAGAUAUGGUUUUAACCCCUUCUCAUAUUUAUUUUUUGAAUGAUCCCUUCUCAUAUUUAUUGUAUGGAUGCAUCAAGCUAUGAUGAAUUUGGAUGACAUACUAUUAACUUACAUAAUAAGACCCUUACGGGGUGAAAAGCCGGAAGCAAUUGCAAGGCAUUAACAAUCUGUUUUUCUUACUGAAGCUGAACAACUGCCCCAUAUACAAGCUCUAUCAUGUUAACUACUGAUGUGAACUUCCUCAGCUAUCAUUUCAUUACGAACACAAAACCAAUGGGCGGUCAAACAAGGAUGCCUUGAAUUACCAAGGAAUCAGAAAUUUAUCAUGCAAUAUCAAUAUGUAUUCUCUUUAUGUAGAAUUAAUGUACUGGCUCUUUUCAUUCAAUAAAAUUUUUCUUUAUGAAAGAUUAUAGCAUUUGUACCAAUAUUUUUUUUUACAUACACCAUAAUAUAAAAUUUGAAGUGAACACGUAAAAAGUGAAUAAAAUAUAAAUAAUUGGUAUAUGAAGUUUAAUAUUAUUGUACAUAGAAUUUCUCACAUAAAGUAUCAAUAGGCGCGGCGUGCCACCGCACGGGCAUGAAAACUCAACAUGGCUCGCUAGCAAGUAAGUACCUAACAGAAUGAAUUUGCAAGACAAACAAUGAUCUUAGCGAUAAUAUGUAAUGAUUUCUCCGACGUGGCACUUCUUCGCAUGUACCCCAACGUCCUCAGAGAGAUGAUCCCAUCAUUACAUACAAAGGAGCUAAGACACCCAUGAUCCCAUCAUUACAUACAAAGGAGCUAAGACACCCGUUGGACAGGUAGAGGAAUUUGCAAAAGCUAUUGACUACUUCAUUAUAAACUAUCUUACAUGGGGCUACACUAGGAUGAUUUAACUCAACUAGGCCAUCCGCAAUCAUUUACUUUCAUGCAGUUGCAUCAUUGUAUAUGGUAUGUUUCAUAGAACGGUCUCUAUAAUGUGCCAAUAAGUAGACCUUAUUAGUAGCGUGUACACUUCCGCUUAUCAGUAUUUAUCAUACAUGGCUGCAAUAAAUGUAUUAAUUUUCCACCUUUUUAGAACUCUUUCUGGGUUUUAGUUAUGCGAUUCUGUCAUUAAAAAUAUAACAAUGGCCUUUACAAUUCGUAUAAAUAUAAUGCAUCACCAGGCGCGGCGUGCCUGCCACGCGGGCUAUGCUAGUCUUAGCUAGACUAAUGUUCCUCUCAUGAGCCAGAAUCAUUCUGUCUCACUAACUCGGUACGCGUACCGCGAUCUAUCAACAUCCCUCGACUGAAUCAGUAGCAGCAGUUCGACACAAUCAGUUUCCACCACCAGUGGCAAGUUCGACGAGUGAAGAGCCAGCCGAAGUCCUUCACCCAUCACAGCCGUCUCAGCUUCCAAAGCAUUAGCACAAUUAACGAGCACACGUGUCGCAACAACAAAAAUAACCGCACCUUCAUGGGUCGCGAGGAAUCAUCCCCGCACGGGUCCAGAUAAAUCCGUAUCUAGGCAAACAGAGAAGAUUAUCUAGACAAAUCGCGUCGAAUCAUCCCCGCACCUUCGUGAUCGAGAUUAUUUGCGAGAGAAAGAAAACAAAGAAGAUGAUGUCAAGUGCUCCCGCCCUUUGGCCCCGAAUUGCUUGUCUUAGAUUUGUCUAGAUAAAUCCGUAUCUAGGCAAAUUUAAGACAAUUAAUUUAGGACGGAGGUGAGAUUUGCCUAGGAUUAUGUCUUGCUAGGUUUAUUUUGAAUGCACGAUGCAGUUUGGGUAUGUCAUGUUCCAUGAAUUGGUGGAGGAAGUUGUCAAACUGACGACCGGGGUCGCUGGUCCGCGAAUAACAAACAAUCUGAAACAGAAGAGAAGCGGUAGCCCCCGUCCCCCCGGAUCACCAGGGGCAUCCGCGACCGAUGCGAUGCGAGUCGCGGCGCCGGUUGACCAUUUCGCUCCCCUCCCCGGCUGCAUGGCAUGGCAUGCGACGCGACGUCUCCUCCCCUCCCACACCCGCUCUCUGCGCUGGAGCUGUGGACUUCCCCCCUCUCUCUUCUCUUCCACCCACCAGGAGAAACAAGAAAUCGUCGACGCUCCUCCCUCUGGGCCUGCCUCUGACUGCUCAGGUCAAUGGUCGCCAACACUGCCUAGAAUGAUGGACUCAGAUCGACCCGCCACGCGUCCCCCUCCGCCACCUUCUUAUACCCGCGCCCCGCCUCCAUCCACCCAUCCCCCCUCCUCCUCCACCCAUCGCCAUCCGUUUCCCGAUUCCUUGUCCUUGCUGUCAAUGGAUCAGUCGUCCUCCUCCUCCUUCGUCGCCGCCGGCCUCAAGCGCAAGAACGCCGCCCUCGGCUGCUCGGAGGUGGCGGGGCUGGGCUACGGGUUGAACGGCGGCGACGGGGAGCGCCGGGUCGUGGUCGGCGAGAUGGACUUCUUCGAGACGGAGAUGAGGAAGGAGAAGCGGGACAAGAAAGACCAUGCCGCCGCCGGCGCGGCGGACGGCGAUCUUGGCAUGAAGCCCGACCUCACCAUCGACGUACGUGAUCCGUCGAUGCGGCGAUGAAUCGUGUGUGAAUCAAAACGUAUUUUGGUAAAUUUGAUUUGAUUUGAUUGACCUAACGUGUGUUUCUGGAUCCAUGCGCGAUCGAUGGAUCGUGUUCCUGUUGAUGGAUCUGCAGAUGGGGCUGCACGUCGGGGGCCGGAGGAGGAACAGCGGCAGCGAGGAGUCCACCGUCGACGACGGCGUCUCCUCCAACGACGACGACCACAGGGAGGCCAAGGCCGAGGUAAUUUUCCCGGUGCGGUUUGCCGUAUACCUAAGUUGCACAUUUUCAAAUCAACUAAGAUCCUUUUUUUCUCCAGCAGGAAACCAACUAAGAUCCUGUACAAAACAUGAAAUGAAAUUCAAAUCCAGAAGAUCGUCUACAACAAACGAAAACGAGCCAAAAACCCUAUAUUUUUCUCGUAGAAUAUAUGCACUAGAUCGCUAAGUUAUUUUUAACAAAAAAUGUGCUAGCCCAGCCACACAGAAAAAUAGUCAGGUUGACUAAGCCUAAGCCGUUUGAGAUCUUUUUUCAAUGUCUAAAUGGACUUGUUUCUUCUUCUUCUUCUUCUUCAAAAAAAAAAUCAACUUAUAUGGACAUAAAAAAAAUACCUAGUCUAGAGCCGCUUAAAUAAAUAUAGAGGAAGCAAAACAAGAAAAAAAGGAACGUUGACUUGUUUGACUUUUAUUUUUGGAUGAUUUUUUUUACUUGUCUUCUGUGCCUAUGACUUUGAGCAGCUCGCGGCCGCGAAAUCGGAGCUGGCGCGGGUGAACGAGGAGAACAAGCGGCUCAAGACGAUGCUCGCCAACGCCAACACCAAGUGCAGCUCCCUCCACAUGCAGAUCGCGCUCAUGCAGCAGCAGCAGCAGCAGCAGAGGAGCAGCCAUGGCCACGCCCACGCCCACGCCCACCAGUUCGAACCGGAGAAGAGGGAGCAGCAGCUCCUCCUCGACGCGGGGACCCACAACCCCCUCGUGCCGCGGCAGUUCAUGAGCCUCGGCUCCUCCUCGUCGCCCGACGAGCCCCGCCCCGCGCGCGGCACCGACGCGUCGCCGAGCACCAACCCCCUCCUCGCCGUCGGCCCCGACGCGGCCUUGGACUGCGCCGGCUGCCAUGGCCUCGUCGGCGCGGGCAAGGCGGAGCUCAUGCCGCUGCCGUCCUUCGAGCACCACGGUCACCACGAGAGGGGCGGCAGCCCGGAGGCCAUGCAGGGCUGGCUGCCUAGCAAGGUGCCCAAGUUCCUCCCCGCCGCCAAGGGCCCCGAGCCGCCCCCGCCCGAGGCCGCCGCCGCCGCCGCCACCAUGCGCAAGGCCCGCGUCUCCGUGCGCGCCCGCUCCGAAGCCGCCAUGGUACGUGCGCUCGUCCUCCUCGUCCUCAUCCAUGAAGCAUGGCAUGGCUUGGGUUUAAUUAAAUGUUUCUGCCGGCGGUGCUGCAGAUCAGCGACGGGUGCCAGUGGCGCAAGUACGGGCAGAAGAUGGCCAAGGGCAACCCGUGCCCGCGCGCCUACUACCGGUGCACCAUGGCCGCCGGCUGCCCGGUGCGGAAGCAGGUGCAGCGCUGCGCCGAGGACCGGACGGUGCUCAUCACCACGUACGAGGGCAACCACAACCACCCGCUGCCGCCGGCGGCCAUGGCGAUGGCGUCCACCACGGCGGCCGCGGCCUCCAUGCUGCUGUCGGGCUCCAUGCCCAGCGCCGACGGGCUGAUGGCGGGCGGCUCCAACUUCCUGGCGCGCGCCGUGCUGCCGUGCUCCUCCAGCGUGGCCACCAUCUCGGCGUCGGCGCCGUUCCCGACCGUCACGCUCGACCUCACGCAGACGGCGCCGGGGCAGGGCGCGUCGCCGCCGCGCGCGCCGGAGCCCGCGCAGCUCCAGGCGGCGCUGGCCGAGGCGGCGCGGCCGGUGUCGCUGCCGCAGCUGUUCGGGCAGAAGCUGUACGACCAGUCCAAGCUCUCCGCCGUGCAGGCCGUGGCCGGCACCAACGGGGACGGCGGCGCGCAGCUGGCCGACACGGUGAACGCGGCCACGGCCGUGAUCGCGUCCGACCCCAACUUCACCGCCGUGCUCGCGGCCGCGCUCACCUCCUACAUCGGCAGCAGCAGCGGCAGCGGCAGCGCCGGAGGUGGCGCCACGGCCGCCGGCGGGAGCAGCGGCACGGUGCAGCCGCUGGUGAGCAGCGGCGGCGACAGCUGCAGUAGAGACGACACGACCGGCUAGCUUAAUCAAGAAGAUCUUGGUCGUUUGCUCGCUUCCAAUUUUGCUUCUUUUUGCUUGCUUCAGUCAAAUUUUGAUCAGGGAUUAGUCUUGGCAUUCUCUUUUGGUUAGUUUCGCACACCGCCGAUCUCCCCUCCGGCAGCCGCCCCGCCGGAAUUGGAGGAGAUGAGAAUUUUUUUGCUUGAGCAUCUGCUCCUUUUAUUAGUUCAUUUGUGUAGGUGUAGCAGCAGCGGCAGCAGCAGCUUUGGGGUAACAAAGUUUUGUGGUAGAUUGAUGAGAAUAUAUGAGGUGGCUUUAGUUCAGACCUUCAAGUUAAGAUGUUAUUCAAUCAAGAUAAACUGUUUUUACUGAUGAUUAUCUCGAAGAUGAAAUUAACCUCAGCACUCUGCUCCUGUGAUCCCACAGACUUGGCCUGAAUUUUGCCAUUUUCAUUUCGACGCAGCUUUCAGCGAACAGAUGAACAAUUCAUGGAGCCAAACAACCCAAGAAGGCAAAGUGUAAAGCAACUUCAGCAGACAAACAGAGGAUUGAAUUGGCAUUGCAGCACUGCAGGCUAUCUACAGGGACAGAGCUGAAUACAGUUUCGACAGAGAAGCAACGAUUUCAUGGUCCACCAGAUGCUUACAUCAAAUUUUGGUAAGAGUUCCUGACUAAUAACUGAUCUAAUUCAACCUGCAUUCAACACCUAAAUACCUCACUCAAACGAGGGUGAGAAGAAAAGAAAAGAAGAAACACGACUAUUUCCUACUCCCAUGCAUGAUAAGCGAUGACGUCACGCCUGUAUUUAUAGCGCUUGAAUCUCCCCACCGUAGCCGUAACGUUUCAAAAGCCGUUCAUCUUGCCGCCAGUUUUCCUUCACCUUCACAUCUAUCUGCUCACAAAAUAGUAUGCGGUGAUUACAAACUGCUCUAGAACAAUAACAGAGGGGGUGAUCAUGCGACAGAAGAAGGAAGAAGUUAUGACCUCAAGAUAAACCUUCUUUUGAAGGAAAUCUUCGAUGUCAAGCCUGGAUGCUGUUGCCAACGUCUUUAUAGCUUUCCCAUCCUGCAUUUGAGGAACGUAGUGCAUGAUCAUUUUGCUCGUUAAAAUGUUUAAGGUAGGAACUGUUUCAUUCCCCAAAUAUAUCUUCUUAUUUAUGACCCAAUUCCUUUUCUAAUAAUAAGAUCAACCUUAAUUUCGUUUCAUCUAUUCAAAAGUUUGUAGAACAACACAUACAUUUAGCAAUUCACGAAAUUCCCAAAAGGUAGUUUGUGCAAAAUCCUUCAAUGUCUUGUUAUGCUUAACUUAACUGAAUUUCUAAUCCUGAAAUAUCCAAUACUGCACACAAAUAAUUGUUUUGUACUGCUUUACCUUCCCAAGUAUAAUGCUUCUUUGUGAUUCCCUCUCAACAAGUAUCUCAACUUGAAUAAAAUCCUUGGCACUAGGCCUGCUUUUGUAACUUGUAACAUUAACCUGUCAUGAACAGAAAUUACAUCACACAAACAGGCUAGCAAAACGGAUAAGCUUAUACACUAAACUGAGGAAAUCACCAGAAGAUAUACCUGGCAUGCGUAUGGAAUUUCCUGCCUAUAUUGAAGAAAAAUCUUUUCCCUCACUAUCUCCCCCACAAAAAAUCUCUCGGGGUGUUCACUAGCUAUGUCCUGGAACAAAGAACAUGCACAAUAUAUUUAGUGUUUUAUAAUCUCAGGACUUGCUCCCUGUAGCUAAACAUCGAAAUGAAUACCUGGAAUGCAGUAAUAGACCAUCUAAUGGACAAACAUGAGACUACCUUUAACAGAUAUAUGUCGAGCUGAAACUACCUUUAACAGAUAUGCCAAAAAACUGUAAAAACAAUAUCUAGCCAACAAAGGCUCCAGGCUAUGAUUUUAGCAUCAUAAUGACUUCAAGUAGAGAAGUUGUGUGAUGGAAUAAAGUUUAAAGCUGUGGGAUGAUUACUCUACAGUAACAGGUAAAAAAAAAGUAGAGAAGUCAUGAAAACCCAUAUCCUCUAUUUCGAAGAAUAUUUCUGCACAACUGAUUUACCCUCUAUCCCAAAAUAAGUGUCUCAACCUUAGUACAACUUUGCGCUAGAGUUAGUACAAAGUUGAGACACUUAUUCUGGGACAGAGGGAGUAGUAGUUAGUCAAAUGUGCUGAUUAAAAUUAUCAUGCCUCCGAGUUCACAGAGUCAGCUUAUAUAAAGCUGUCUCGGGAGUCAGAACUGUGUUACAAUGAUGGUAAGAUUCUCAUACUAGGAUCAUCUUAUAAGAUAAUGUGGUAUUGGUUUGCAACUGAUGGAAGCAAUUGAACUCAUAGAACAGUUAACCAUAGCUUAACACAUUAUUCAGUGUGCAUAAUAAAAUAUGAAGAAAAAAUGUAAAACUACCACAUCGCCUACACGAUAGAUUGAUUAGUACAUCUCAGUAAAAGAAAGACUGAUCAAAACAACAAUUGCAGGAUUCAAAUUUGGCAUGAGCACAUCAGCAAUCAGGCAGACACUCUUAACCAAAGUGGCAGAACAACUGAUUAUUUCGUACUACCAAAAGGUGUUGAUUCUUGAGAUUAAGGCCAAGAAAAAUAAAUAAAUAACUCGUGCAUGUUACUAAGUUGCAUUGCACAUUUCUACUUGAUUUGUUAGGUCUACAUGAUAAAGAAAAUGGCUGUCCAUGCAUAGUACAAGGACUGCUUCAGAGACUUUUGCAUCUUCCAUAGUGAUGAUACCUUGGGGUAGUAAGCAGGACCCAGUGGAAGCUUUGACAAUAUCCACUCCUUGAUAUCAACCACUCCAUGACCAAAUUUAGCACUUAUAGGUAUAACAUCGUCAACAUCAGUGAAUUUUUGGUACCACUGUGAAAAGAGUUGUCAAGAAAUAAAUACCGUCGUAUACAGAGGAAAUCACAAAAACCAUCACUUCUAUAUUAUUCAGUUUCUUACCUCAAGUUUCUUUGCGAUUUCUCCGGGUUUUAUCAUAUCUUUCUUGUUGAGUACCAACACAACAGGGACCUUGGUAUCUUUGUUUCCCACGCCCGCUUCCAGCAUAUCAUCUAUCUAAAACCAGAGAGGGAAUGUCAAGCAAGGUAGACUCAAGACAUUCACCUAGUCCUUUAUUUUUGUCGGCAGUCACCUUUUCGGGCAAUUUGGAAGCAUCAGCGACGACAAUCACACAGUCCGCGUUACCGAUAGCGCUCUGGACAUUCUUCAUCAUCAUCGAGUCUAGCUUGUGCAUUUCCUUCUUGAUGAUGCCUGGCGUGUCAUAAAGUAUUAUCUGCAAACUAAAUGAUAACUCGGAUCAGCAUUCAGAAAUCAUCAUGAUAUCCUCUGUGGAGACAUUGGUUUAUACUGCAUUUGAACUGAGCUCUACAGGUGCUUUGGAGACUAGAAGGUUGUACCUGGUAUUCUGGUUCCGAACAUAUACCAAGAAUGCGGUGACGUGUGGUUUGUGGCUUAUCCGUUACGAUCGAAAGCUUCUGACCGACGAUUUGGUUUAUCAGGGUGCUCUUGCCGACAUUCGGCUUCCCCAACACAGCAACAUAACCUGUGGAGACACACAGCACAGGCUCACAGCAUUACAACAUGGCAAUUGUUUUUCAGAAAUUAAUUGUCAGAUAACUUGUUUCCUCUGAAUUCUCCCAGAAUCUUGUAAUUUUUUUCAUUUAUUUAUGCUGCACAAUGACAAAUUCCAGAAUUUUACUGAACCAAGAAUGCUCCUGGUUGCAUUUGGUGCAUCAUGAACACUAAAGACUGAAAUAAUCUACCUGGCCAGGGAGUGCUGAAUGAAAUCCAGCUAGGUACGUACACAAACAAAGCAGAGCACAGAGAAGAAGAAGGCUCACCGCUGCGGUGGUUGGCGCAGAGCGCCGCCCCCAGCUCCUCCGACUCGUACUCGUCCAGCAGCGCCAGGCUCCGGUCCGGCUUCUCGAUGAGCUCCAGCCGCGGCCUCGCCAUCUCCUCCCCCUCCUCCACCUCCUCAUCCUCAACCACCGCAUAGCUCACACCCCCACUCGUCGACACAGCCCCAGCCCUCCUACUCCCGCGCCUCCCAGCGCGGACGCCGCCCCGUCCUGGCACGCACGGCGGUGGAAGAUGCCGGCGGGGGAGGCGACUGGCCGGCGGCGCGGCUAGCCGGAGCAUGAGGCCUAGCUCCAUUGCGCAGAGAGCAGCUGAGAAAGUGGCUAUGGGAUAAGAGUGGAAGGAGACGACGACCCAAAACGAUUUAAUUUCCCCCUGCGGCCCAGGGCCCAUCCCAGGCCCAGACCUGAAGAGGCCCAUUAACGGGCCCAUCGGGCUGUCGACCGUCUCGGUGCUCCGACAAAAGGGCCGAGGCGGCCGCCGAGCAGAACCCACGCGGCAUAAACCCUAGCUAGGCUCUCCAUCCCCUCCUUCCUCCUCCUCCUCCUCCACAGGCUCGUCGGCGGCGGCGGCGCGCGGCGGCGCGCGGCGGCGAUGGGGAAGGCGAAGGGGAAGCAGAGGCAGGACAAGUACUACCACCUCGCCAAGGAGCAGGGGUACCGGAGCCGAGCGGCCUUCAAGCUACUACAGCUCGACGCGCGGUUCCGGUUCCUGCCGACGGCGCGGGCGGUGCUCGACCUCUGCGCGGCGCCCGGCGGGUGGGUGCAGGUGGCCGUCAACCACGCGCCCGUCGGCGCCUUCGUCGUCGGCGUCGACCUCGUGCCCAUCCGCCCCAUCCGCGGCGCGCACUCCCUCACCGAGGACAUCACCACCUCCAAGUGCCGCUCCGCCGUGCGCAAGCUCAUGGACUCCAAGGGCGUCGCCUCCUUCGACGUCGUCCUCCACGACGGCUCGCCCAACGUCGGCGGCGCCUGGGCGCAGGAGGCCACCACCCAGUCCGCCCUCGUCAUCGACGCCGUCCGCCUCGCCACCAUGUUCCUCGCCCCCAAGGGCGCCUUCAUCACCAAGGUAUCUACGCGGUCCGCCGCGAAUGCUGGCCCGCUGAAUCCGUUAUGAAAAAUAGCCAUUGACUACAAAUGAUUCUUGAUGUUGUUCCCCUGUGUGAAGCGCACCUAUUAAAAUCAGAUGUAUUUCUUCUUCUUGUCAACAGGUCUUCAGGUCUCAGGAUUACAAUGCUAUCAUGUUCUGUCUUAAGCAGGUGUGUAUUGAACGCAGGUUUUCUUCAAGUACUUUAUUUAUUUCAUAGUAGUGUGUUGACGCAUGGAACAAACCCAUUUGCAUUUCAGCUGUUUGAGAAGGUUGAGGUGACUAAACCUAGUGCGAGUCGUGGCACAUCCGCCGAAAUUUACAUUAUCUGUCUCAAAUAUAAAGCGCCAGCAAAGAUUGCUCCAGAACUUCUUGACAUAAAGCACCUGUUCAACGUCGAACCCGAGAAGAAGAUGGUAUGCUGAAACAUUUGUCAGAGUUACUCAAUCGAUUUCUCUUUUUAAUGUGUUAGCAUCCCCUAAUGUUACAUUUUUGUGGUUUCUGCAGCCUAGGGAUGUACUUGGUACUAAUAAAAAGGACAAAAGACAGCGUGAAGGGUAAGUAUGCCUUCUUAUGUCGGCACACGAGUUUGCACGUUCAUUUUUCUUGCAGUACUGCUUUUCUACUACUCAACAAAUGCAUCGGGAAUGAGGGUCAUGCUACAAUACUUUAGUUGUAUUUCAGUGCCUCAUAGACUAUAAAUAAGCAUGGCUGGUGUAAUGAUAUAAGAUUUAGAGAAUAUCAUGCUUUGCUAGCUCUGUAAUUUUACCACAUAUAUUGGUUAAUACCCAUGAAUGUAUUACAUUGACUGGAACUUUUCAUACAGUGACUGGCUAUAUUGGUGCAUUUGCUAGUGUAAACAAGACAACAGCACAGUGAACUUAUGUUCAGAUCUGGCAUGCCUUCUCCCUUUCUCACACUAAGGGUAACAACAUAUUAUGCAGUGGUGCAUCACAUGUGUGAAAACAUUUCUCUGCAUAUCUUGGUAGCAGUCAGCCACAGUGUCAUUUCUUGAAACUAAUUGAUGCCUUUUUUUUUGCUAGUUCUGUUUUUAGGGUCAAAUAAGCAGCUAGCCAUUUGAAAUUUGACCCUGAUAACUUUCCUCUUUUAUGCUACUUUAUUAAGUGGUUAAUGGUAAAGAACUGAAAUUAUCUGAACAUCUGGUCCUUUGUAUUGUUCUUUCAAACUUUGAACUAUAUAAUCCACUCUGGUGGGAGAUCCACAUUACUAAUUUCUAUUGUAUGUGAUUCAUUCAGGUACGAUGAUGGAGUCACAGUAUUGAGGAAAGUUGGUCAGGCAUCAGAUUUUAUUUGGUCUGAUGCUCAGACACCACUGGAAUUUCUUGGUUCUGUUACAGAAAUUUCAUUUGAUGAUGAAGCAUCUGUGCCUAUCAAGAAUCAUGAGUUUACUACAGAUGAGGUAAUGGAGUAAUGCCUUUGCUCUGCAUUCCUGCUGCCUAACUUGUAUUCAAUCUUAGUUAUAAUGCUGACUGAUUCUAUGUUUUGUUGUGUGCCAGAUAAAAAAUCUUAGUGACGAUUUACGUGUGCUGGAUAAAAACAGCUUCAAGCAUAUCUUGAAGUAAGUAUCUUUUCCUAUUCUAUUUUCUCAUCAAGUUUAUUUCUAGAUUAUGAUUAUCCAAGCAUGUCUAUUACUAUCAGUGUGUCAUGUGGAGAGGUGCCUUUCAAUCUCCUCUCAUGAAACUAAUAUAUAUUAUGUUAGGUGGCGCAUACGCAUAAGGAAAGCAUUGUCGUCAUCUUCCCAAGUGACACCUAAGGCUGAUGGUACUGUGGUGGAGACCAAGGUCAACGAUGAUGACCAACUUCUACAGGAAAUGGAAGACCUGACAAGUUUCAUUGAUAGGAAAAAAAGAAGAGAUAAGAAGCGUCAAUCAAGACGUCGUGCAAAGGUAUUUACAUUAUGAAAUAUGAAAAGCCUUGUUUGCUGCACGUGGCAUUGAUUUGAAUUGUGUGCUGAUAUAUCAGUCUCUUUAUUCCAGGAUAAAGCACGCAAGGCAACAGGAAUGCAAAUUGAUGCUACAGAAGAGGGAUAUGGUGAUCCUGACUUGUUCUCUAUUAAGGCUAUCAAGGUAUCCUGCUGUUUAUGUAUUCCUAUCUGUCUUACUUUGCCUUGUACACCACAGAAAGUUCAUCAUUCUUUCUCUCAGAAGAGUUUUUCUUCUAAGUCAUCUAGGCCUUAUUAUCAUUCGGCGAGCACAUGUGGAAAAGUGAUUUUGGUUCUGUUGUAAUUUCUCUCAAGUUACUGUCCCAGCUUAAUGUCUUAUUUUAGCUUUUACAUGUCCACGUUGUCUGUGCUUGCGAACUCAGUGAUAUAUACUUCUCUAUAGGGUGGAAAAGAUCUUCAGGCUGUUGAGUCAGCAGAGUAUAAUGCGGAAGAUGGCUCUGGAAACAGUGAGAAUGAAGCGACUCAAACUCAUGAAGACUCUGAUGAGGAAAUGGAUUCUGAUGAAGAACAGCAGAGGUAAUUUUUCAGACACCCACACCAAAAAUAAUACUCCCUCCGAUCCAUAUUACUUGUAGCUCAGUCGGAUGAUUUAGAUGUAUUCCAAUGCUAGAUACAUCUGUUUGAGCGACAAGUAAUAUGAAUCAGCGGGAGUAAUAUUAUAGUUUGGUCAUAUAAAUUCAUCACUUGCAAAAUUUACUAUAAAAAUUCCAGAGACACAUAACACAACGUCUUUUUACUCAGGUAUGAUGCUCAACUUGAGGAGAUGCUUGAUGAAGCUUACGAACGUUUUGUGACAAAGAAAGGUGGAGAAGUAAAACAAGAACGCAAACGUGCCAAGAGAAUCAAUACUGAUGCUGAUACAGACCUGUUAGAGGUAAUAACUGACAUUAAUCCACAUGAAUUUUGUCCUCGCCUUUGAAACCCAUUGUUUUUAUAGAAUGGCCAAUGGACUCAACUUGAUGACAAUAUAUGCUAUUAUGUUACAACUUGAUAUAGGGGGGUGAAGAUGAUGGCAGCGAUGUUGACAUGGACCAAGGUUCCGAGGAAGAGGAAGAUCAAGAGGCCAACCCCCUUUUAUUGUCUUUUGAUUCAGCGAAGCCAACAAAAGAACAGACUACAAAGCAGUGGUUCGGUCAGGAUCUGUUUGCAGAAUUAGGAGCUGACCUAGCUGAGAAGAGUGACAGUGAGGAUGAAAGAGAGAACCCGCGUAAGAAUUUGAAAAAGAAGGUGGAUUCAGGAAAGAAGGAAACCCCGGCUAAAGCACAGCUGGACGCAGGAAAGAAGGAGAAACCGACUAAAGCUCAGCGCCUGCAGCAAGAUGAUAUUGAGAUGGUGGCAGCAGAGCCAGUCCGAGCUGCAGAUGACUCGUCCUCAUCCUCGGACGAGUCAGACGACGAUCUAGACGAGGACAUGGAUGACGACACCAAGGCCGAAGUGCUGGCGUACGCGCACAAGAUGCUGAGGAAGAAGCAGAGGGAGCAGAUCCUGGAUGACGCAUACAACAAGUACAUGUUUGACGACGUGGGCCUGCCCAAGUGGUUUGCCGAGGACGAGAAGAGGCACACCGUGCCCAUGAAGCCGAUAACGAAGGAGGAGGUGGCGGCCAUGAAGGCCCAGUUCAGGGAGAUCGACGCGCGGCCGUCGAAGAAGGUGGCGGAGGCCAAGGCGCGCAAGAAGCGCGUGGCGGCCAAGAAGCUGGAGAAGGCGCGGCAGAAGGCGGACAUCGUGGCGGACCAGAGCGACAUCAACGAGCAGUCCAAGGCCAAGAUGAUCGACAAGAUCUACCGCAAGGCGGUGUCGACGCAGCGGCCCAAGAAGGAGUACGUGGUGGCCAAGAAGGGCGUGCAGGUCCGGACCGGCAAGGGCAAGGUGCUGGUGGACCCCCGGAUGAAGAAGGACAAGCGGAGCGCCGGGUCGGGCAAGAAGGGCGGGAAGGGUGGCAAAGGGGGCGGCAAGGGGAAGAAGGGCGGCGGCGGCAAAGGCGGCGGCGGGCAGAAGAAGGGCGGGAAGGCUGGUGGCGGUGGGAGGAAGGCCGGCGGCGGCAAAGGAGGGCCGCGUUGAGUAGUUUGACAGGAGGCGUAUGGAUGAGCAGCUCGGCGUGUCGCCUGCUGAAAGUUUUCGCCUGUUGGAUGGCUCGCUCUCUGCUGCCGAAAUUUUUGCCUGUCCUGGUAGCUAAGCUGUUUUUUUUUUUGGAGCUGUAAUACGUUGAUGCUAUGAGAGCUGUUUCAGUGUGUGAGAAAAGUUUUGUAAGUUACGCUUGUAUCGGACGAUUUGUGGACAAUAAUUUGUUAUCGUGGUGAAACCCUGGCAGUAUCAUAAUCAUGUCGAACUUAGCUUAAACUUGCUAGCUUUGUGGCCUAGUAGAAAACAGAGACCAAAAAUGAAGCUAGGACACAUGGGGCUACAUAUUUGU
rnacentral:lncRNA from 1 species